UUGUUUUGAUCUGGAAUAGCCCUUGAUUAGGGUUGUUGUUGAUGCUUAAUGUGAUGUGUAAGGGAUUACCUGUUUCGAGGGAUAAGGAAUUAUGUUAAGUACUUAAGCGAAAUUAAGCUAGGGAAAGGAGGAAUAACAAGAAGAUUUGGAGUUUGCAGCCUAAAAAAGAUUUAGGUAAUACUUUCUUAAUUUGCUCAUAAGGUUUUGUGUUUCAUUUGAGUUUAUGUGUUUUUAGUUUGAAGGUUUAGUUGGUUAGGGACUGAUAUGUACUUAACCUAAUUCAGCAAUAGUGCUUUGGAAAUGGAUUAUGAGUUGCGACAUUGAUGGAGAGCCCUGAGAAUGCUUUUUGGAAUUGUUACAUCAACAGUACAGAGCUAGUGGUUUUCAAUUUUUUUCUUAAGCUGAUUUAUAUCAUUCACAUAUAGUCGAAUUCCGGUAUAGCAAAUUAACUAUCCUAAAUAUGGUUUUACGUAUCUUUAAAUGCAAUGAUAUCGCAGUUUGUUUCUGGAUUAUAACUCAACUGUUUAAUAGAACAUAUUUCUUAUGCAAGAUGAACAAAUAUUUGGGAUUUACUUGCAUUUUCUCCUUAUUAGAAGCAGUUAUAAGUCGAGCUUGUUUUCCCAAUGUUAUGGAAAAAUGUAUAUAUCCUGGCUCACUAGCUACAGCUGAAACACUGUGGUAUAGCAGAUUUGAAGAAUGGACUUUGGACUUCAGUUUGUUUAAAAAUCAGAGCAAAACAAAUAACUGUGAUGGAAAUGAUAUUUAGGGAAAUAUUUAUUUGCAUAGUCUCUCCUUUUUAUUCUGCUACAAUCUCCAAUGCACGUAGGAAAGUUUAAGCUAUUUGAUGUGUAUGCAGAGUAAUGUUUUUUUUUUUUUUUUUUUUUUUUCAGAUUGUCAAAUCUAUUUGUAAGUAUGCAUAUCAGAUAAGACAUGUUAACAUGUUCCUAUUGGAAUCCAUGUCCUUGGUUUCGGUUGUGUUUUAGAUUUUUCUCAGCCGGGACAGAAGCAUUUUAGUAGCAAAAAUGUGCACAAUUUCCCUUGACGCAUCCUUUAGUUCUUAUUAAUCUAUAACCUUAGUAAGGAAACUUAAUUCGAUGACUCGAAAGAUUUAUGCAACCGUACUCAGCUUCAAUAAUUUGCAUUAUCACCACCCGCUAUUUUCAUUACUUUUGUGUGUAUCUUGCAAUCCUUGUUCAAACAAAGGAUAAUUGCGCUCUCUGAUCUGCUUGCAGGGCAACUUCGAUGGGAAUUAUCACGAACAGUUUCUCAUUUUUGCUGGGAGCUGGAUUGGGUGUUUACAUUGCUCAGAAUUAUGAUGUCCCAAAUAUAAAGAAUCUUGUGAAUACUUGGCUCUACAAAGCAAAGGAAAUGGAAGAGACAUACAGGAAGAAUAAUAGAAAAGAUGAUGAUUAGGCCUAGUUUUCUUUUCAAAGUGGAACUAGGAAAGAAACAAAUUAUUGUUCCAUUCAAGUUCAAAUAAUCAGAUUCAAGUUCGCCAAAUGGCUAUUUAUUCUUGUACUUUUUACAGAAACAACUGCUGCGCAGUUGUAAAUGAGUUGGGGUAAUCUUUUCUCUUGUUUGUUUGGAUGUUCAAAAUGGCUGGAUUUUAUGGUAGUUUUGCUGGUUUACUAGGUAUUAUUGAACAAGAGAAGAUAUAUGUUUGAUACUAUUGGAAAAACUUGGUAGAAAAAUGGAAAAACUUCAAUUUACCCCUAACCAUGGUCUAGUGUAUUUUUACUUUGUCAUGCAGUGGUAUGAAAAGUUUCAAUUUACCAUCAUGUAAUUUUGUUCGAGUCUCAGCGUCAGGAACUGUAGAUAAAUAGUAAGUUGAUAUAAUUUUACAAAUCACAUAGUAGUAAAGUGCCAGGCCAUACUACGUAAACUAGUGCCUGUAAAUCUUUACCUUAUUAAUCUGAUUAACGAUUUGGCCCAGUCUACAAAAUGAGUAUUAGUGAUCUGAACAUAAUAUGACAUGGUAAAUAAUAGUUUUUUUUUUUUUUUUUGAGAACUAGGUAGCAAGCUACCUGCUUCAUUCAUUAAGUGAUGGUAAAUAAUAGUUAGUUUCCCAGCUUUUAGAUUGAAAAUUUGAUAUUCUAUACUUUUCGAAGUAUUUUAUUUGGAAAAAGUUUUAGGCCUCCCACAAAGAGUUUGCUAUGAGUAUUCAUAUAAUAUUUUAGGUUACACACACGAAUCUUUCAAAAUUCACUACAUAUGCAUGUCAACACAUUAAUAAUUACAAGAACUGUGGCUUUAUAUUUUGGAGGAUUUGUUAUAAGUAUGUAUCAUGCAUUCACGCGACCAUGAAUCUAUUCAGAAUCUAAUUAUCGUAUGAUUUAUAUUUCAACUCUACCACUUAUUGAAUUAUUGUCUUUUCUCAACUUAGUAGUUAUACAAAUGAAUUGAAAGCAUAAAUGAAUAAGGAGCGACGAAUAAUUUAUAAUUCAAACAGCUAAUAACAACAUCGAUUAGAUUGAAGCAAUUCCACAUACAUUGAAAAGUUUUGAGUACCAAAUUGCAACUUUUCAAACCUUUAGGGACUAUAAUGUAAUUUACCCGUUCAGGGACUAUAGUGCAAUUUACCCGUUUUUUAAAGUAAUGGGACAAAAAUACCAUGCAAACAAACGCACGGACAAAAACAUUCCCAUUCCUAAAUCCCCUCAAUCGCUAUGAGAAAACCACAAAUUCUACGUAUCUCUGCGAUUUCGAUAUCUCGCAUUUUCCUAUUUUCCUACGUCCUGCUUAGAUCAAUUCCUGGUAAAAAUAUAUAUAUAUAUAUAAUCUACAAUUCUUCUCUAAAUUCGGUGCAUCUUUUGAUUCUGAUAUCUAUAUUGUUUUUUGGUGAGAAUUUAAGGCGCAAAGGGCCUAAAUUUCAUUCGUUCUCGCUCUUUUGAUGCAAAUGCGAUUACGUUAUUCCAGGAAAUUGAUGGAUAAAGGGGGAUUAUGACAUGUUGUAAUUAGGGCCAGGGUUCUAAUUAGAGUAGUAUAUGACAAUUUGUUGUUUUUCCAAAAGAUCAAAAUCCGAUAAAAACAUUAGAGGAAUAGCCUUAACAACUUUGCUCGUUUGUGUGAUGCAGAUACAUUAACAAUGCCGUGAGUAAAGAUAGAAGAGAAAUGCAAUUUGAUCAUCAAAUAUGGCCGUGGGAUAUCAAAUUUAGAACCUUUUGGAACUGAGGGGCUUAGGAUUAGAUCUGAUACUAUCUUUUCCAAAACUCCAAAAGAUCAAUAUUAUAGAAACUAGUCCAUGAAUAGCUUUAACAUGUUGAACCAUACAUCUAAUAAGUCAUGGUUUAUCUACCAUAUAUUGCGGUAAAUCACUAUUCUUUGAAGUUAAUACUUGCUAGUUAAGUAUUACCUCCAAGUAGUUUUUGAGUCAUUUUUUGAUGCAAUUAGAAAGAUUGAUGGAAAGAUUCAUCUGUAAACAAUCUAAAACAAUUGGAAGAUUCUUAUUUCUAGGAUCUAGGAUCCGUUCUUUAUUCCCCACGUAUCGAUUGAUUAUUCACCUCUGCAGGAAUUCUCUCAUCAAGGUUUGUUACUCUUGGCUCAAUAGAAAUUUUCAAAAAUCAUGAGUUGCUACCCUCAGAACCAACUGUUUAUUUUCGCUGUCAAGGAGAAAACAAGACGGUGUUUCCAGAUGUGAAGGAGGUAAACACAUUAUACACUUUCAAGGGUGAAGAAUCCUGGCAGGGUAGUUGUCAUUGAAUGCUACAAGAGUUAACGAUAUCCGACAAUUUUAUAUUUUUUGUGCUAUUUUUGGUUUAGUCGCAUAGUUGAUCUUACCGGCGUACAAUGGUCGUCGAUUCAUCACAACCUGUCUAACUACUUUUGAAUGAUUUUAGUGAUCCUACCUCGCUGUUGCUUGAUAUCAACUAUGAUAGAUGCGACAUUUCUAAAUUGGAAAUGCAGGACUGAAGCAGAAUUAUAGUUUAAGCUUUUGCAGAAAAUAUAAUUUAUCAGUGACUAAAAAGUUUCUUCAUGAGAUGCUGUUGAUUCUAAAAUAAUGACUAAGACUUUAUUAGUGUUUCGUCAUUUUAUGUAUGCAUGCUUGAAACUUAUGUCUCUCUGCAUAUAUCAUAAUUUUCUGUUUACAGCCAUUGACAGAGCUUCCAAACACGAAAUGCAAGCGAUGCGGUCUAUACGAGAAGGACAAUUUAAAGUCUGAUGAUGUGUACGACGAAUGGGAGCUCUGUCCUGAUGAGUUUGUGCAUGGAAAAUAUACGCAUUUCAAGGACAAUGAAUUUAAUGCCACAUUUAUAUGCCUCGCAUGCGGUGCUGCUUCUGGUGAGGCGUUUAUCCGCUUUAUUCUAUCUCCUCGAUCAUCAUACGAGUAGCCUCAUUCUUAGGUUGAAAUGAAGUUUCCUAUGGUUUAAUAUCUUUCUUUUGUUUGGAAUGCUUCAUAUUUCUCAAUAUCAGCAAAAGAAUUUUACAUAUAUGCUGCUACAAGAUUAUCUACACAAAUGGUCCUUUAAUUAUGUAAUCCAGUUAUAGCGGUUCCAACAUUUCUUUUCAAAACAUUGUCAUUGCAAAUUCUCAGUCAAAUUGGUAUUUACAUAGAUAAAAUCCUUGUUUGUAGGAUUACUUUUUGUGUGCUUAAACUAGCAAACAAAGAGUUAGUUCAAUGCAAUUACUUAGUCAUUAUGUAGCUAAGGCUUGUAGCUUAGUUCAAUGUAAUUACUUGUCAUAGGUUCUACUCAAAAUUCGAGCUCCAACAACGAGGCUGCGGGAAAUAAAUCUUAUGUUGCUCUAGUAAUACUCAUAUCAGUAUUGGCUUCUGUUGCGACUAUUAUCGGAGCGAUGGCCGUGUAUAGAUACUUGCAGAAGAGGAAGAGAGAACGAGAUCAAGCACGAUUUCUCAAACUCUUUGAAGAGAGUGACGGCAUCGAAGAUGAACUGGGCCUAGGGCAUGUCAUAUAGGAGAAACAGAGAUUGUUGAGACAAAUCUCCAGGUUUCAAAGUAGUUAUACUUCGCGAAGUCUCGGAUCUUGUAACAUCUAAGCACUUUUUUUUUUUCUUUUUUGCCCUUUUAUCACUAGACUAGCUACGCGUUUUUGUUUGCAAAUUUCAUUGAUUAUAGGUUUCGAAAUUUGUUUUUACUUCCCAAAAUUGGAUUGUAAAACAUUAUUGAUUAUUGCCAAAUGAAAAAUAUCUUCAAAAUUGUUUGCUCAGCAUAUUUAGAGCCUUCAAUGCUUUUUUUGUGUGGCUAUAUGAUGGGUUAGUAUAAGCUUCUUCAUUAGUGCACCAACUCAAAAUGGAGGGGGAAUUCAGAGAAGAGAAACUCUUUUUCUCUUUCAAUAAUAUCCCAUUCGAUUCAAAACAUCAGAAAUGCUUCGGUAUAAUUCUAGUAUGAAACCAAUGGAUUAGGAUUGGGAAAAAUGUCGCGAAGAUGUUGCAUCAUGGAGAUAUGAUCACCAGCUCUCGAAAAAAGACGUAGGAGAAGGUCGUCAUAAAACAAAGCUAAAUAUUCAAACUUUUACAGCAUAACACUGAUCCGAAGAUCACAAAUCCUCGACUUUGUGGAACUUCUUGUACAAUUCACACUUUACUGUAGCUCGCUGCAGGUGCUACAUUCACUGCACUACACCAAACAAGUCAUAAAGAGAGAAGAAAAUUCACACUAAAAGCAUUUAUUAACACAAGGAUUCAUUAUCCACAUAUAAAAACACCACAAAGAUACAGAGAUUGGAUGCUCUACUCAACCAAUCCUUAGAAAAGUCGGAUCAAAACCUAAUAGAAGCAGAAUGCUUAUACAGCAGUCACUGCAGAAGUUUCAUUGUUAAAGGAGAAAUAGCUUUUGCGAGAGAGCAUUAUUGACCAAGAGCGUAUACUAAUAAGCGAUCACUUCCACUUCUUGAACUUGCCACCGCCAAAGCCAUGCUUCCCGUGCUUGUGCUUGCCGAACUUGCCAUGCUUGAACUUGCCGUGCUUGCCAUGGUGGCCGCCAUACCCAUGGCUUGGCAUGCCGCCGUAGUAGCCUCCAUGGCCGCCUCCGUGGCCUCCGUGGCUUCCAUGGCCCAUGAAGCCUCCGUGCCCCAUAUGGCCUGCUCCAUACGCAGCUGCUGCAGCAGCCGCUGCACCCCCCAGGAGUACCGCUGCUCCCCCGUGAGAUCCUCCAUGCCCGGAUCCCUGUCCUGCAGAUAAAAAGGUUUAGUAGAGACAAGGUGGUCGUAAAGAACAUCAUACAUUGACGUCCACUUUUCAAGAUAGAAGGUAAAUACAUGUUCGUGCAGAGAGAUUCAUGAUACGACAAAGAGUGGAAAAAAGAUUAUAUCAAUCCUAUCGACAAAUCGCUUAUUAUUACUGUUUUUUUAUUUUCCGUUUUCCUCCAGUCUCUCAAAUUCCAUGCGAUCGAAUGCCACAGGAAGAUGGCAAGCGAUUUGCAAAUUAUACAUGUUCGGGACUUGUCAUGAGAAUUAGUAGAAACCCAGACUAUGUUGUCUUUGAAAGAAAAGAUGAGUUCGCAAACUAAUCAACAAUAACAGGAAUAGAGAAGUCCAUUGGCGAGUGCAUUCGAGCACACAGAAUACGAGGAGAGUAAAACAAAGCUAGCUCAAAGGAGGCCUAGAUUUGUCAUAAUUUCUGUUAGCAGUGAAAAUGAAGAGGCACAUUACUGGAGCAAGUGAAAGCAAAGCAUGUAAAAGAAUGAAUUUCGCAGAAAAUUGUUUCAUUUUUGUUCCUUUCCUCGUAUUUGCUUUUGACAAACCAAGUUAGAAUCCUUUUAAAUGCUGCAUUAGCAGUAACCAGUAAGGUGGCAACUAUAUUUCUAUACGACCAUUAGAUAAUGUAUAAUGCAAAGACUAUAGCAUUAGAGUUAAAAGCAAUGAUGAAUACCAUGUUGACCAGGAUAAGGAGCUGGCUGAUAGCCUUGUGGGGGAUACCCUUGCGGAGGAUAUCCCUGAGGAUAUGCCCCGGGCGGUGGCGGGUAAGAUUGAUGAGGGUAUGCCCCUGGGGCCGGAGGAUAUCCUUGCGGGGGAUAUCCUUGCGGGGGAUAUCCUUGCUGCGGAUACCCACCAUGUGGAUACCCGGGCCCGUGCACCAAGUCCGAGAAAAACCCCUUCUCGCCUUCUUUGCCGUGUGGCUUAUCCUUUCCCCCUCCCAUUUUCUUCACAAAGUGAGUGGUGCUGUAAGGAGAUAGAAGAGCGCACAAAUAUGUAAGUCGCUAGAUUUUCGAAGUGUGCCAUAGCCUUAUCAACAUAAUACAAUUCAAAACUUUCACUUGGGUCCUAGAAAUCUAACUAAUGUUUAUGCAUGAGAACAAGAUAAUCAAGGAGACCCUUUGCGGCACAAAAAAAUAGAUAACAAAGCAAACAUAAACUCAAUGCAAAAUAGUAGGAGUUAAAAACACAUCAGAAGCAUUUUCCUACCCAAAUAUCCAUUACCUACAUCACAACAAUAGCAAUUCUUGCAGCUCUUCUUUUAAAUUUGCACACAUUCAUUAGAAAACAGGGACUUUUUGAGUCUUAUCAAAUUACAUCUAUAACUAUCAAAGAUAAUACGAUAUGCCGCAAUGAAUUGUCAUUUCAGAUCAAGUAAGCUAUUGAUCAUAAAUUGGAUAUAACAACAUGACUAAAUGCCAUAGCUAAACAGAAUGCAUGAUCGUUAUAUCAAAAUUUCCCAUAAAUUCUAUAGCAAACAAAAAAAAAGCACAUACUUCUACAUCCUCUUAACAUUUUUUUUAAGAAAAGUCCGUAGAGACUUAAUUAAAAUACAAAAAAUUGAACUCAUUCUAAAAGGCUUAAUAAAUAAAGAGCAAAAAUAGGAUCUCUGAAUCUCCCUACAAAACUAUCUCCAUAAAGAACAACAAAAACAGAGCUCAAAUUUCUGAUCUACUCAAUUUAAAAGAAAACAAGCCCUAGAUUUCAACUACUUGUUGCGAAAAUAGGGAAAACAAUUCCCAAAAAUUCGAGAAAAAAGUCAGCGGAACGAUGAUUCCAACCUAAAACAAGCGAUCCAUGUGCUAAACUUCUAAUCAGGAGAAAAAAAAAAAAAAAGAAGCUCACCAAAAAUCUGAAGAGAAAUGCGAUCCGAACGAUUCGGUAUACGAAUUUGAGACUCGGUAAAAUAACGUUGAACUCUCCUUUUAUAGAAUUUUAUGUCCACGUGUCACGCGGACUCCUCUAACAACGUAACAAUCGUACCGGCUUUUGUGACCUCUACACGUGGCGAUUAGUUACCGUCUCAAAGAAAAACCGAAUUGUUUCCUGCACCCGGUGUACCUUUUGUCUCAUGCGCCUCACUUCAUUUCUAAUAAUUUGUGCUUUUUAAAAAAAAUUUCUACUCUUGAAGUUUUGAAAGAAAUUAUAUGAUACCAACAUUCCAUUCAACUCCAAACUUUUAUUUCUUUUUUUUCUUGAGAAUUUAGUUGUUUCAUUUAAAUUACAAAGUUUAUUUAUCUUAAUGAAUGAAAUAGACAGCUUGUAAUAUUUCUCUAAGAAAUAUUUUUUUAUUUUGUACACCAGGCGCAACGAAUCAUUUUGCCCGUGAAUACCUUCGUGAUGAAGGGUAAUUCGAAUCUCAUUUAAUUAAUCCUUUACUUUUAUUAAAAGAAAAAAAAAAAAACAAAAAACAAAGAAACGCGUAAUAGCGACGCGGUGUAGGCGAACACGCCGAAGCAAACAAUGCGGGUGCGGCUACUUUGCAACGAACGAGAUAAGUUGAGAUUCGCUGCAAUGGACGAUCUACAGUAUAACCCAAACCACCACUCACCAAGAGACACGUGUUGGAAAAAGGGUGGGCCCCAUUAUUCUACAUUUGGGUACGCCCGUAGGCCGCGUAUCUCGUGCUUCCUUUCCCGGAGCGUCCAAACGUUAAGAUGGUGUUGUUUUGCGCGGUUCAACGGAAAAGGACUUUCCUUCCUUUCGCGGUGGCCACUGUCAGGAAAGAGCUUUGCUCACCCAACAACUUCCCCAAAAAAAACCAAAAAAAAAUUCCGCCAUUGUUUAAAGAGGGGUUGGGUUUAUUUCUGUAUUCCGAGUUAUACUCAGAUUCAAUGAUUUAAGUGUUCCGAGUUAUACUCAGAUUCAAUAAUUUAAGUGCUGUGACACAGAAUUAUAUUCAAAAUUUACACGCACCGCAUUAUAGAAUUGUGUGUUGAUACGUACAGAUCACAAAAAACACCCAAGUAUUGCACAUAAUGAAAAAAAAAUAUUUAUUGUUUUAGCAAUAAAAAUUACUUAUUAUAUAAUUUUUACUAAUUUUUCUAAAAAAAUUAGUUGUACCAUCGGCACGAAAAUUAUAUUGUACCCAUAUUUUAUUAGCAUGAUACAAACAAGAUAAAUAUAACCUGUAUCAAUAGGCACUUAAAUAUUUAAAUCCUUAAUCCGAUUUGAAACUUAGUGGCAAAGCGCAGUAUGUGAAGAGUCAUUAUCUUUUUUUUUUUUUGAAAAAUAAGUAGCAUGCUACCUACUUUGUUUAUUUUAUUUAGAAAUAAAGUUAGCUGGAAAUAUAAAUCAACUAAGAUUCGAACUUGAAAUCUUGAAUACCAACCACCAAGCCUUUUGCCACUUGCUUUGGGUACGGUCAGCGUGAAGAGUCAUUAUCAUAAAGGAGUUUCGUGAAUUGGAAUUAGGAAACAAAAGUACUCUAGUAAAAAAAAAAAAAGAAAAGAACGAAAAAAUAAGAACAAAAUUGCAACAGCGCAGUAGUACAUGGAUAUAUUAUGCGCACAUUUUCCAUCGAAUAUGCAAGUUAUUCCCAGGACAGUCGAGAACAUAAUAAGAUUCUACAAACCAUAACAGCAAUUGCUGUAAUUCUAACAACAAUUGCAAGUACAAGUUUCAUUUGUUAAAGGAGAACUAGCCUUGCAACAAUUACAGAGAGAGCAUAUAAGCAAUCAAACACUUGGUAGUAGCACUACAACUACUACUACUACUACUAACCAUAGUACUAGCUAGUAGUACUAGUUAUAACACCUCACUUCUGCUUCUUAAACUAGCUAUUCAGAAUCGUAGCCCCCACGCUUGCUGCGCCUCUCGUGACGGCGGCGGUGGCGACGGCCGUGGCCGCCCAUGCCCCUGCCCAUGCCCAUGCCCAUGCCGCCCAUCCCACCCAUGCCGCCCAUAAGGCCCCCCGCCAUGUGGGGCGCCCCAAAUGCGGCAGCAGCAAUCGCAGCGCCACCGAUCAGCAGUUUUCUUAUGUCGGGCCCUUGGUGCCCAGAUUCAUCGCCUGCGCAUAAAAAAGUUCGUUUAUUAUAUAACUAGAUGUUCUUUAAGAUCACCAUAAAAUCAACACAAUGAACAGUAUAAAAAGUAAUUAAUGUUGAUCCUAAUGAAUCAAGUCUCCAGGUUUGUCAUUUUUUCUUUUUGAUAUGCUACUGGAGCAAAGUAAAAGCUAGCUAUUUCAGAUUCCUGUGACUCAUACGUUGAAAAUGAACAGAUACUAUUAGAACUUCAAAUUGAUUAACAUCAAACAUUAUGGAAGUGUAGAAACACAACUAGUUCAGCUGGUGUCGGUACGAUUUUGCGAUUUACAUAAUACUUAAGCAGUAACAUAGGAGCCAUUUGGAGCCAAAAUAGGAACAGAUCUAAGUUACAGUGUUACAAGGCAUGAUGCAUACUCUGUUGUGGGGCAGCAGCAGCAGCAGCAGCAGCAGAAGAACCAGGAUAACCACUCUGAGCAUAGCCUUGCUGGGGAUAACCUUGCUGGGGAUAGCCAUGUUGAGGAUAACCUUGUUGAGGGUAUUCAUGAGGGUAAACUUGAGGAGGGUACGCCCCCGGCUGCGGAUCGUAUCCUUGCAUUGGAUACCACUGCUGCGGCGGCGGAUAUCCGCGCCCAUACGCCAUGUCGUGCUCGCCAUGCUUAUCCUUCCCCCCUCCCAUUUUCUUCACAAAAAAGUGUCUGAUGCUGUAUGAAAAAGAACUAAAGCUCGCAAUCUUAGGUUCCAAAGUUUAAUUUCCUUGUGACUGAACCAUAACAAACUACAUGUUGAAACUUUUUUACUAUACAGCACAAGCUGAGGAUCAUGAAUUUGUCAUCUUAAUACAGACACUUUUUGUUACAUUUGCAUUAGAAAAUACCCAAAUUUCGUGAAGAUGUUUUUACUACCUCAAAAUCUCUGUCAUAUUCAAGCAUCUUAACUUAGGUUCUAUAACAGGAUUAAAUACUAUGUCAAAGCAAAAAGAGAACUCAUGAUACAAAGCAUUAACCCUUCAUCAACAAAAAAAACCUCUGUAUUUUGUAAAAAGCAAGUGAAUGAUUCUAUUAAAAAGUAGCUCGGCGCGAACAACAAUAUAGCGUAAAAAAUUACAAGAACGCCAAAUGACGCAAUAAAUUUUCAUAUGAAAUUUAUAUGCUCUUCGUUUCCUCAAAAUAUAAAUCAGAAAUUAAGAUUUAAAACAUAAAAGCACAGCAACUGCAACAACUAUAACAGUAUUUUUUUAAAAAAAAUCAACAACAACAAAAGAAAAAAGUGGAAAAAAAAAAAACUACCAGACGUUGAUUCAACCUAAAGCAAGAGAUCGAUGAACUAAAAUUCUAAUGCAAAGAAUAAUAUUUGAUAAAAAAAAUGAUUCAAAAAAAGAAAAAAGAUAGAGAGAGAGAGAGACACGCACACACAAGGAGAAGUGCGAUCCGGGAGAGGCGCUUGGAUAAGUGGAUAGAGAGAGAGAUUUUAUAGAGUUAAAUUAAGCUCCUUUUUUUAUUAUUAUUAAUUUAUUUAUUUAUCAUUUUAUUCACGUGUCACGCGGCUCUUUUAAUGCGACCACCAAAUUAACCACCAUUUCGACUCAGGACACGUGGCGAAUUUUCAUGUGUUAGACUGAUUUGGGUGGGAACCGAGGAGAUACUUUCCCGGUGCGUUUAGUACCCCUUUGCUCGUUCAUUAAAACUUCUACAAUAAAAGAUAUUAAAUUAAAAUUUUUAUUUUUAAAUGGUCACGUCUCACAUAACAUUCUACAAAAUAUCUAUACAUCAGAAGGGCUUUUUUAUAAAAUGACCCUCUAAAAAAUUAUAAUUGGCAAAAUAACCAUGUAAAAAUUUUAUUUGUAAAACUAACCCUCCUUUCGCCACGUAGGCGCCACGUCAGGAUUUUCUUAUAAAGACGGUGAAUCGUUCGCCGUUUUCUCUUAUUUCACUGUUUCUUUCUAUAUCCCAUAUAAUCUUAACAACUUUUAAAUCCUAAUAAUUUAUCCAUAUAAUUUCAUAUAAAGGCAGUUAAGAUUAUAUGAAAUUAUAUAGAUAAAUUAUUAGGAUUUAAAGGUUGUUAAGAUUAUAUGUAAUUUGUUAGAAUUUUUAUGUGGUUGUUAGGAUUAUAUAUGGAAUAUAGAAAAUAACAGUAAUAAGUUAUGGGAGAAAACGGUGAAUGAUUUAUCGCCUUUAAAAGAAAUGGGAGAACGCGGUGAACGAUUCACCGUCUUUAAAAGAAAUAGGAAAACGCGGUGAACGAUUCACCGCCUUUAAAAGAAAUUCUGAUGUGGCGCCGACGUGGCGAAAAGAGGGUUAGUUUUACAAAUAAAAUUUUGAGUGGGUUAUUUCGUAAAUUUUAAAAUUUUAGAGGGUUGUUUUAUAAAAAAGUCCCAUCAAAAAGUUAUAAAUAUCAUUUUUUCUUUAUUAAUUUUUAUUACUAUUUAAUGCAUAAUAAUUUUUUCGUCUUUUAGCGAGUAACGUGAAUGAAUGGACUAGCGCAUGCCCCCAUCUUCGUGUAGGAAAAAUUCUAGAAUGCAACGGGUAUAUUAGUGACGUGGCGUAACAAACCAAUCAAAUUAAUCCUUUUAAGAAUAUAUGUCCCAUCAUGAUUGUAAAAAAGUAUUUUUAUUGUACUUUUGUUUAAAAAGAAGGAAUGUGAUUGGCUUGUUAUUGAUGACGUGGUGCAAGUGUGACAGUGUAGAAUUCCUCCUUCGUGUAGAGGUGUAGAGAGAUAUUUUAUUGUGCACACUUUUUGCGUUGACUCUGCCAGAAAAUAAAAUAUGCACUACCCAGCAACUUCCCAAAUAAGUUCCUCAAAACGUUAGAGAUAUUUUGGCACAUAUGUCGGUUGGAUUUUUACCAAAUCAAACCGUGUCCUGCUGUGCCAUUUUUUAGUGUGACGAAUUUAUAUUACGCUAAUUAUUGAAUAAUUAUGCCAUGUCAUUUUUGAGUCGCUAAUUUGUUGAAUAAUUGUGCUAUAUCAUUUUUGAGUUUGAUGGAUUUAUGUCACGCUAAUUUAUUGAAUAGUUUCCUAAUAUUAUACUAUAAGUCUAAAUCACCGACUGUUUCUAGUGCAAGUGAUAAAGAGCUUAACAGUUACUAUCCGAAAUCUUAAGUUCGAAUUUUAGUUGAUUUACAUUUUCAGAUAAGUUUUUUUCUAAAAUAAAUAAACAAAACAGAUAGCAUACUACUUUUCUCUAAUAAAAAAAAAAAGUCUAAAUCAGCAAUUUAUGUAACAACACCAUCAUAGUGCUAUCACGGUGAUAUUGAGUUGUCACAAGAUAACAUUAUAAAGUGAUUAUAGUAUAUUAUCUGGGUGAGUUACACCAAGAUUUAGACACCAGCUUAGGCUUAUUUUUGGCUCCAUUUGUUAUUUUUGUAACUUUGUUUGGAGAGAACUUGGGUUUCACUGUUGCAGAUAUGUAGUAUAUUUUGUCGCAGUAGUCUCUUUUAUUACUUCAAAUUGUUUUGCAAUCUCAACUUUAAGGUUUAAAUAAAAAGAUUACUCUCGCGUGUACUAUGCAUAGCAGUAGAUGUGCCUUUUUUUUUUUUAAGGUUAAACUGCAAAAAGAAGAAGAAGAAGAAGAAGAAGAAGAAGAAAAAAGAGUUCGAAUAUCAUGAUUUCUUUUUUUUUUUUGGGCAAAAAGGAAGUUUAAAUUCUGAAGGAUUGAACUGUUAUAAUAGAAUUACAAAAUAAAACAAUACAGUGUCUUAUCGUAGUAUACAAGCACAAUAAUUCUCCAUUUCUUACAAAAAAGGCAAAUGUUUUUAUGUACUACAAAAACCUAACAUAAAGACCUUCCAUUCUCAAAACAUACUCCAUAAUAUAUUGCUUACAAACUUCAUAAGCAGAAUACAAUUAUCUGAGUUUGAAACAAAUCAAAAGACAACUGUUAUUAGCUACAUUGAAUAAAACAAUUGAACAAAAUUUCAAAUUACAAAGCUCCAAACCAAGUAUACAUUUUUACCUCAAAUAAUCGCUGUCUCGAUUUACUCUACCGAACGAAUGAAAAAUGAAAAAUAAAAAACGACACCAAACAAACAAACGGUUAAGUGACAGGCUCCGAUCGAACCAGAAAAACAACUCAAACUAACCAAAAAUAGUUUAUAUCUGAGCAUUUUCCUAUACAUGAAACAGGAUACAAUUUCCAAUAAUGAGUAAGUCCACCUUGCACUGCCCGCUCUUGUAGAAGUUCAGAGAAUAUAAUCUGGAGGAACAAUUACUGUUAGAAAGAGAAAAAUCUAAGCCAUCUUAUUAGAAUGCCCAAAUCUCAAUUCACUGUGUUGUUUCUGAAGUGCAGCAGGGCUAACACAGGCAAAUAUAGAAGGUUUUUUUGGCUUACUCCCAAAAAGGAAAGACCGUAAAGGUAUUCUAGUUUUAGUCGGGAAAUGGCGGAAAUUGUGAUGGUGGCUGUUCUUUGGUCCAGAGAGCUCAAAAUUCUCAUGCAGCUGUGAAAAGGCUUUCUCAACUUCACCUUGAAGCUCCCUUACAUGAUCUAAACCAGUUUGAAGCUCGUUUUCAACCUUAUUAUUCUCCUGUUGCAUGUUAAGCACCUCCCCUUGAAACUUUGCAGCUUGAUAAGAGGUAAGCUGGGCUGCUUCUGUUGCUGAGCUUGUCUCUAAAGCUCUUGCAAUCUCAUCUUGUAUGUUGCAGAGAGAUGAGAAUCGACACUGAAGUUCUCUUCGAAGCAACGCAUUCUGCUCUAACCAAACUUGGAGUUCAGUCUUCAGCUCUCUUAGCUGCUUUUCAACUACUGUAGAUUCUUUGGGCAAGGCAACUGGGUGGUUAAUAGCACCAUUGUUGAGCUCUUGCGGCUUAUCAUCUUUUAGCCUCUCAAUUUCGGCUUUUAGAUCUUGAACUUUAGUUUGGAAUUCUUGGAUACGGUGGAAAAAAGUGCUGAACCUCAACCAAAAUUCCAAAUUUUCCUCUAAAACCGCAUCAAUGUCCCUUCUGAAUUUUUCUUCGACGGGCGAAGUGCUCUGCAGUUCAUUGACUGAGAAGUAGAUGUCCCCCAAAUGUGGGCUUCCUCCAUCUAUAACACCAUUUGAUGUAUCUUCCUGUUUAGAUGAUUUGAUGCUUAUAUUUUUUGACAUCUCAAAAUUUUGAGGAUUAGAAAUGCUCCGAUGCUUUUGAUGACUGUAAAACGAGGCUUUAACUUCGUUAGAAGUUACAUUGUUACUGCCAUUAGAAACUGUCUUUGAAGAGCUUAAGAGUCGUCGUAAUGAUUGAAUCUCCUCAUCCUUCAUGGCAUUGGCAUUUCUCAGUUCUCUUAUUAAUUCUGUCAUAUCAUGAAGAUAAUCUUGGCUCUUCUUCUCUACUUCAUUGAGCUUUUUCUUCGUUUCUUUAUAAUUUCGAAGGAUUGAGGUGUACUCAGCUAGUAAUAUCUUUUCUCUUCCUUCCAAUCCAUUUAAAAGUAAUUGUUGCAAGUUUAGAAAACCAUCUUGUUCUCCUAUUUGCAUCACUUUUUCACUACUGGGAGGAAUAGGUUGUUCUUCUUGUGAAUCUUUUGCUGUUACAUUUUCUUUGUGUCUCUCAUCUGGGAUUUGUUCAGAGCCCAUAAGAUGAAUAUGAUCAUCUGUUUCCGAUGAUUUAUUUUCUAUGAAUUCUUCUCCCUGUUUUAAAUACUCAAUACUUUCUGAACUACUUAGAGGGAGAUUUCCACCUUCAACUGAUGAAUCUUCUUCUUUGGCUUCUUCAACUUGUUUUAACUCUUCUAUAUUUUCUUGACCACUAUGUGGAAUGUGAUGAGCUUCUUGUAAUGGAUCCUUCUCUUCUUCAAGUCUGAUGUUGUCGACCUUUUCUGAACCAUCUAAAUUCUGAGAAGCUAUCUCCGUUUGGGCAGAAUAACCAAAGCUCUCUUCAGGUUCUGGAAUCUCUUUAUUUCCCUCUUUGACAAAAUUUUCCUCUAUGCUUUGGAUAUCUGCACCUUCUGUUCCAUUGCACUCAUUGGGUAGUUCAGUGUUGAAAUGGGGAGUUUCUUCCUUUAUUGUGCUCUCAACACUUGAAGACUGCAACUUCUCUGAAAUAUCAGUGAGGCUAUUAAAAGCAUCAGUAAAAUUUGAACGCACAUCUUUUCCUUCAUCGUUGACAGCUUUCUCCAGAUACUGAACUCUAUUCAACUCUUCUUCCGCUUGCUUAAGCCUGUCACUCAACUCACUCGAGUCAUUAAUGAGUACCGUCUUCUCCUCUUCCAAGCUCUGUAAAUACUUUUCAAGCUCGCCGUUCUCUUCACUUAACUUAUUUAUCUGUGCCAUCUGUGAUGAAACCGUUAGUUCUAAGUUUAUAACUUUAUUUACCAGUUCAUCUAUUUUCUCAGCAAUUUCCACCACAGAAAUGUCAGAAUUCAUCUCGAAAUGCUGCUUUACUUUAUCGCAGAUAGACUGCAACUCAAGUUUCUCCUGUUUUAGAGAAAGAACUUCUGUUUCUAUGUUCCCAUCAAUAAUAUUUAAUGGUUCAUCCAAAGAUUGGCCACAUUCACCCUUGAGAGCAUUUAGUCUUUCUCUAGCAAUUUUUAUUCUUUUUGAUUCCAUCCUUGCCAACUCAAUUGAUUUAUUUUGUUGUUCCUGUAAAUUCAUUAUGGCCUCCUCACAAGAUUUAAGGGCCGUUGCCGUCAUCAAAGCUCGAGCUUCAUCGUCCUCUAUAAUUGCACUUGCAUUGAACUCGUCUUGAAAGUAACAAACCUCCUCUUGCAUAUCAUUAAUCUGCUUUUCAAUUUCCCAAUACUUAGCAAUUCCACUCUCGUAUGAACUCUUGAUAAAUUCUUUCUCGGUUUGAAGAACCAAGAUUGACUUCUGAAGUCGAUUAAUCUCUUCUUGUGCAUUCUCUUCGCUCAUUUGCAUCGUAAUUUUCCCACCAUGCUUUUUCUUUUGACCCUCUCUUUUCUUCUUCAUUAAGUCCUCAACUGUUUGCUUGCGAAUUUUACUCGAGUUGAUGGGUGUAAUUGCUUUGGGUAAAUUAUCGUCUUCCUCCUCAAGCAUCGCAUAUUGGACUUGGUCAGGAAAAGCAGUUGCUAUUGUGUGGUUGGCUUUAUGAAGUUCCCCUGAUAUAUGAUCAUAUCUUUCUGCUAAAGCCCUGUAUGCCUUAUAUGCUUCUUCCACUGAGCUUAUCACCUCUGGUCUCCUUUUGUAGUACAUCUCAGCCCUCUUGCCAAAGGAAUCAGCCUCCUCGCCAAGUAGUUUGAGCAUGUCCUUAACCCUUUCCUCCAUCUCUGUUCAUCAAAUACACAAACAAAACGGUAUCUAAAUUUCUUUCUUUUUUCUUUUUUUUUUCUAUUUUCUGAGGAAUGAGGAUAAGGAUAAAGCACAUCUACAAUGAUAUAUAUUUCGUACUUGAACAAUAUGUGAAUGUCUAUAAUAAUUAGUAGUUCGAACUAUUUACCACGAUGGAUGCUUGCUACUCUAUUGGCCAUGGUGAGUGUUGUUAUAACUUAUGGGUCAUACUAUCUUUUGAUCGAUCCAAAUUCUUGUUUUAUUCAUUGCCAAAAGUUUCAGAUAUUGAAAACUCUUUAAAGGCAAAACCACUAUAGACAUUCCACCCGCUUUUCAUGAGGAGAAGAAUAAUGACCUAAUAAGAUGCAAAUGGUAAAAGAAAUUCAAAUGGUCUCUCGGCAAAAUUUUAUAUUAAUGUUCAUUUUUCACUGUAGGAGCUAAAGUUACCAAAUUGCACAACAGAGUUAUAAAAUGGAAAUGAACUGGGUCCACGAAGAACGUACUCAUUAAUGUAUUAUGUUUUACUUGUUAAUGUUUGUAAAUUACUUGUACGUAUAUUACAUUUGUUUGAUUGAAGACAUUUAAUGGCUUUUCUAUCACAAAAUUCGAGCAUACUGUUUCCUAAAUUUCGCAACUCACUCAAUUGAAUCCAAUAUGAAAUAGAAUAAAUAGAUUAAAGCAUACUGGUUUCAAAAGAAGAACAAAAAGAAAAGGUCAUAGCAUGAAUUAGCACAAUGAUGUCACCAAAUUCGUAGAUACUACUAUCAUGAUCUCCAUUUCACAAGGGCGAAAGUGGAGAACCUAACAACAAGUAGAUAGAUCAUACCCCAUUUCAUGAGCAAAACCAAUACAUCAAAAGAUCAACAACACAAUCGCGUACUAAGAACAAUCAAAUUAUAAGAUCCAUAGGAUCAAAUCAUGGAAGCGACUCAAAGAUUAGGAGAUAGAGGGGGAUCGAUUAGCGACCUUGGAGGUUGUUGUCGAGCCAUUUCGACUGCUUUGUCCGGAUCUGGCUCGCCCAAAACCAUGAAUACGCGUUGCUCGCCGCUCGCUGCAGCAUCCUCUCCCCCUCUCUCCUCCUCCUCCUCCUCCUCCUCCCCUCUCUCUCUCUCUCUCUCUCUCUCUCUCAAACCCUACCCUCCUCUCCCAAAUCCCUGCUCUGUGGACGAGGAGACUCUAUCGAUCAAUUGAGGUGAGAACACAGAGAGAGAGAGAGAGAGAGAGAGAGAGAGAGAGAGGUGGAGAGGGAGACGAUGAUGGAGAUGAUAUGGCUAAAAGAGGAAAGCGUGGGGGAGAUGCAGGGGAGGGAGGGUUCUACGGAGCCAUGCGUGGAAAUAAGGAAAAAAGAAAAAAGAAAAAAAAAAAAGGGAGAGGAGGAAACAGAAAAAUCGUAAAACAAUAAUAAAAAAUAAAAAUAAAAAUGUGGGAACGAAGAGGAGGAAACAUGGUUGUGAGUGGUGCGGUGCACGUCGGGAAGGAGAAAAGAGGAGUUAAUCAUACAUGCGUGGACAAGGUUCACCACGUCGGCAAUAUACAAUCCAAUAGUUUACCUUCAUUUUAUUCUUGGUACUUAGACCAGGUCCACGACAAAAUUUUGGAGACUCUCACAUCGCACGUGCUCACACCGUGAUUCGCACUUAACUAACCGUCACAUGCAACCGUUGAUUCAUCCGAGAGCGCAUCUCGAUCGUCCGUAGCAAUCCGGAUCAGGGUAUAUAUAAACCCACCGCGGAGGCCGCUCGACUAGGCCUAAAAAAUCCCCCUGCGUGUGUGCUUCCUCUUGGGCGAGUGCUCGGGCGACAGCGAGGGUUUCUCUCUCCCUCUACGAUCCCCAGGUACAAAACCCUAAGUUUGCCCAUCUGCUCCGAUUUAUCUUAGUUCUCUUUGACUCUUCCUCGAUCUCCCGUUUUAGUGAUCUUAUUGUGCGAUCUAGCUCUGUAUGCUUAGGUUUUUGGUUAGAUCUCUAUGAAAUCAUACGAUAUUCCGCUUAUUGGGAUUAAAUUUGGAACAAUUGAUGUUUUGUAGCAUAUUAAUUCCUAAAUUUCUCUUGUCGAUGAGAAUUUUUGGAUUCGAGUGGUUUCGCAUGUAUGUAGAAGUUGUUUGCUUUGUUUUAGCUAAAAUGGGAGUAUAUGGAUGGGUGAUUUUUUGCUUUUUGCUUCUUUACCUUUGAGGGGUUGUUAUUGCAGAUUUUUUUUGCUGAUGUCUUAUAUGUGGUGUCAUUUUCGGUUGUUUGUGGUUUUCUAGCUGCUAUUACAUAGACAUGUUUUUUGCUAGGAUGAAGCUAAAAUAAGUUUAAUUAAACACUGUGUGAAUUGCUACUCAGUAAAAUUGCAGAUGUGUGUGUGUGAAUGUGUGUGUGUUUGCUGCUUCAGUUGAUAGAAGAAGAGCUCAUUAUGAUUUGGUGAGGAUAAUUCUUUAUCCCCUUAUUUGGAUAGAUCCCAGUUUCAUAUAUGACGUACCGUGAAAUAUGUUCUGUUUAUUAUAAGUCGUCAUGCUUUAUCUUACAAUUAACGAGCACUGUAUAAUCGUAGUCUUUGGUACCUUUCAAGACUAGGAUAUUUGGAUCGGAUUUGAACGCAUUUGGAGGGUUUGUUUUGACUAUGCUGAUAUUGUGCAUCUUUGUUUACUUUUGUUUCCUUUUCUUUUCUUUUUUUUUUUAACUUUUCCUAUUGUUUGACAUUUUAGGUUUUUAAACCAAUAUUGGCUACAUAAUGUCCAUGUUGUAGGUCUUCGAUGCUGAUGGCUAGAAUGCUAGUUGUUUUUAAGAAUUGGCCAUACUGUUUUAGCUAGCAGAAAAAUGAAUCUAAACCUUGAUUUAUACCAAUCCCGAGUCAAUAUUACAUGUCAUUUCCAUUUUCCAUCAUGUCAAAUGCAAGAACACUUGGAGCACUUCCAAGACUCUUAGCCACCGUUUGGUUCGGGGUUAAGUAAAAACUUGUUAUUCUAGAGAUAGAGUUAAGUUCAGGGUUAAGGUGGGGUUAGAGUAAUUUUAUGUUUGGUUGAGAAUUGGGUUUAGUGCAGAUAUAGGUAAAAUAGUGUUUGGUUGGAGUAGGUGGAAUAAGAAGGAUAGUGGGUAAAAUAGUGUUUGGUUUGGUUGGAGUAGUGGGGUGGGGUGGGAUUAGCUAACCCCACCCCCCAAAUUGGGUGUUUGGAAAUAACUUCAGGGUUAAGAGGUUAUUCCACCCCUUAACUCCGAACCAAACGGGUGCUUAGGUAUUUCCAAGUACUAUAUUAUUCACCAUAAGAAAUUAUGUACCUCUGUAAGUCUAAACAUAAAAAACCUUCAUGUUUAGUAUUAAGCAUGUCAGAAUAUACUUUUUACGAGGCUUUAAGGUCUUUCCACGGGAAUCAAGUUGCACUAAGUAAAGUCAUUUAAAUUUGAAUGUAAGGUCGGCAUAUGAAACCAAUUAGUGGUUGUUUUUUUUUUUUUACAGGCAUUAGUUAUGAAUCACCUUUGUUUUUACUAUUGUAUUUUAGUUUAUGCUUUUUUAGCUCUUUUGUCUACUAUCUGAUGUUUCAGAAACUUUAAUCCUUUUUUUCCCAGUGCAAAAUGCCUCGCUAUGAUGACCGAUAUGGCAACACACGCUUAUACGUUGGUCGAAUAUCCUCUCGCACUCGCACCCGUGACCUUGAACAUCUUUUCAGCAGAUAUGGAAGGUAAGUGGGAAGAAUUAGUACGCAUUGUACUCAUGCUAAGGAAAGUCUAUUCUGCCUGUAUGUUGUAAUGAAAGUCACUGAGCGCCUUGUUAUAUAAGAUAACAAAAUGUGAUAUAAGAUUUCAGAGCAUUAAGCUGUGCAUUGUUUCUAUAUAUAUAUUCCUUCUCUUCUCUGGUACAAUACACAUAUAAGAGCCCAGUAUGAGGCUUAUCACCGUCCUAGUGCAGGAUCAUACAGGAUCAUAUAGCGAAAUUUUGUCUUAGGCUCUUAGCAAGGCCACACCCAAUCGCUAUUGAAAGAAAUAUGGGUAUAACAGACCAUUCCAAUUAAACUUAUAUUGAACAAGAAAGAAUGCCAUUGCUAACAGUUUCAACUUGUGGCGCUGUUACUAACAGCCUCCUCUUGCAAUUAAAGGCUGGCAUUCUUUUCCCCACCUCACCGCCUUAAUAUGCAAAACCAGCUUUGAGAACUAUGCACAAAGCACUUAAAUUAAUGUAGUAGAUUGGUCAUUUUUCUUUGUUUGCAAUGCUUUUUAAAUGGUCACAUGCAUGCUCAGACAAGUACAUUUCUUGAAGUUGCUUUUCUUUCUUUCUGGAAAGUAAUAUGUGCCAAUGAAUGCACUAUUUAAACGUUCCCUUUUUCCCCCUUAAUAAUGGUGGAUUAGUGGUGCUGAUUCAUGGUGUUGACAUCCUGCUUAUGCUGGUUUUAGCCACCUCAUUAUAUUUGUGACUGCAUGGUAAAUCCUUUCUCCAUAUCUUGGAGCAUAUAAUAGUUGGAUCGAGAAUGACUUAACAUUGAGGCUAGUGACACAUUGUGGUUCCACAAGGCAUAGGCCUUUCAAGCCGAUUGGGUUCAUCUUUGUAUACUUGAAUGGUUAAAAUGUAUGAUCUACCUAUUCUAUAGCUCAUUUUGAUGUUGGUACCUAAACUACAAAAAUUUUGAUUUUAUUACCUAACUUUAUAGUAUGGUUUUUAAGUAACCUCCACAUUGAUCUGAAGAGGAUUUUUUUUUUCUUUUUUUAAUUGAAUGUUUAGUAACUAUUGGAACAUUCUAUUACUUGACAGAAUAUUUCAAUGAUUUUUCAGACGAGUAAUGGAACUUGAUGGAAUUUUUCAAAAUUAAAAUAUGAUGAAAGGUGAGAUAGCAGGGAUUGUAGUGCUAGUCGGUAUGGUCUAGGCAUGAGUAUUACCUGUGUUUCUUGUGCGAGUCCAUGCUGCCUGUGCUGACCAUGCUGACAUGUGAAAUGGGGCGUGCGCCAAGACGUGUCGACGUGCUGUACCGUGCCAAUGCACACUGAAACACCUCGUGCUAGAGGCACUGCAAUCCUUGUGAGAUAACAAAUAAAAUCUUGAAAGUCGGGUACCCAUUUCAAAUUGUGGUAUAGUUCAGGCAAGGUCUCUAUUCGUUUUCCGUAUUGCUUUUUGAAAACCUUGACCCCAGGUCUUGUGUGUUUUAAUUCGAAUGAUCUUGUUGAAGGUUUUUGAGUAUUUUGCCCAACCUGGAGGUCUAAAUGGUGGGAGGGUGCCCUUGAUGGAUGUGGUGGCUACUCUUCCCAAGUUUAUAAGAGAAUUUGGUGAUUCUUUCUUUAUUCUAACUGCCUGUUUUUGUGGAGACUUUUGACGGGUGAUACGUUUUGGUACUAAGUCAUGACGGUUUUACUGUUUGUGGCAACCAUUUCCGCAGAGUACGAGAGGUGGAUUUGAAGCACGACUUCGCAUUUGUUGUAUGUAAAACACUCCACUUCUGUUGUUACUCAUGUUAUUCAUUUAUUCUGUGUUUUGUUUUCUUUGUAAACUCGUUAGUAGAUUAGGAUUGGCGCUUAUCUAUGUUGAUCAAGUAUAAGGCAUCCUUUCUGUUUUUCUUGCUAACUGUAUUGCAGGAAUUUAGUGAUCCUCGUGAUGCUGAUGAUGCAAGAUACAGCCUUGAUGGUCGGGAAUUUGAUGGAAGUCGCAUCACUGUGGAGUUUGCACGGGGAGUAAGUAUAAUUAUUUUAUUGAGAAGCUUUACUUUUUGUUGUUUUUCAUACACAUACGAAUGUUUGUUUUUUUAUGAUGUGCUAAAUUGCUGGGUUUUUUUUUUUUCAUCUUUUCAGCCACUGUCUAUCUGAACUUUAUCAUAUUAUGAAGAAUCCAAGUUUUUCCUGUUAAAUGACAGUUCUACCUCCUCUUAACAACUUUAUUGUUUUGGUAUACUUUAUACAAGGUUCAAAGAGUCAUUUUAUUGGAUAGUCACAUGAUGACAUAUUCUCUUUAGAAGGCAUGGUUGAAAUUGCAAUAUAUGAGAAAAUUCAGUUUUGAUUAAAGUGUUAAGUCAGGGAAUUUAUCCAGAAGUAUAAUACCCCUUUUACUAUUCAGCUGUCGAUUCUUUUGGAGAUUAAUGUCUAAUAUGAUAUAUUUUUUUUCUUUGGUGGGACUUAGGGUCCACGUGGCCGAGGAGGUUCACGCGAAUAUCUGGGUAGAGGACCUCCUCCCGGAUCUGGCCGCUGUUUUAAUUGUGGGCUAGAUGGCCACUGGGCUCGAGAUUGCAGAGCUGGGGACUGGAAAAACAAGUGCUAUCGGUGUGGCGAAAGAGGCCAUAUAGAAAGGAACUGUCAGAAUAGCCCUAGAAACCUCAGGUACUCACUCUAGCUUUUAGUGGGUUAAGUUGAUUCCUUUUUUCCCCUUGUUCUCCCAUUUUUCUUUGAAUUUUUAGAUGCGCAAACAUUAUGUUAACAUAUUUUUAAGUUGGAAUCAAAUUAAAAGAGAUAUGCCUGCAGACGUGAGAGAAGCAAUUCGCGAUCGCCAUCCCCUCGACGUGGUAGGAGCCGCAGCAGGAGCUAUAGCAGAAGCCGGAGCUACAGGUAACUAGCUUUUGGAUUGUAUCUUAUUUCCGCUAUAGUCGAGUACAUAUAGGCUAUUAUGGGAAGAAUCAAGUCUUCUAUAUGGAACCCAUUACUCUAAUGGAAUUGUUACCUCUAGAAGCAUAAAAGUUCAACUAGUUGGUUUGCAACUUAUUAUGCUUGCUGACCAUGCACCAAUUGGAGGACAGAGGUAUUUAAGGCCUCUUAGUGAUGAACAUAUUUCAUGCUUUGAGCUUUUAGAAGUAUGAGCUUUGCCACAUUCCGAGUUAAAAAAAUUGUCACAUUCCGAGUAAAAAACUGAUGUAUGCUGAUAAGCGUAGGUAAUGUUUAGCUUUUAUAAUUGCUUGCCGCUGCCAUGCCCUAUUUAAGUUUGACCAUUUUUAUGCUGAUGCUUUAUGCCUCUAAAUUUGUGCAUGUUAGCUUAUGAAUUUUUGUCUGUACUUGGAAUCAUUUUUUUCUGAAGAUUUAACGUAGCAUGCAUGUGCAUUGUUUGCCCUUAUUGCGUGAUUCACAGUUUAGGCUGAGUAGAUUCUGUUUCCAAUAUUUCUUCCUCCCUGUAGAGUCCGAGGAAUUCUACACUGUUGCACUUGCACCACUUCAUCAAUAACAAGCCAAUCACAUUCCUUCUUUUCAAACAAAAGUAUAAUAAAAAUAUUUUUUUACAAUCAUAAUGGGACAUAUACCUCUAAAAGGAUACAUUGAUUGGUUUGUUACGCCACAUUACCAAUAUACCCGUUGCAUUCUAGAAUUUUUCGUAGAGUCCCCACUCUUUUCACUACCCCGCUAUUACAUGGUAGGCAGAACUUGUACCUCUUCUUUAAUGCACGCUUUCUCACUCACUCUUUUUUCCUUUUGCCAAGUAGCCCUUCCAGAUCGCCCAGGAGAGACCGUAGGAGAUCUAGGAGCCAAAGCGACAGCAGGAGCCCCCCACCGUCCAGGGGGAGAGGCCGCAGCCCCACGGCUGCUGGCAGUAGGAGCCCAGAAAAGGACCGAGCAGGAUCAGACUACAGCAAGAGCCCACUGGGCCGGGAGGACAGGAGCCCGCCUGAGGAAGACCAGAGGUCUAGAAGCCCUGCCACUAAUGGUGGUAGCAUGAGUCCUAGGGAUGACGAGGAAAAUGGCAAUAAUCAUCGUGGGAGCGAGUCUCCUGAAAAUUGAUGGUCGAGCAAUGUAGGUCAACUAUGCGUUAAUACACGAGGAUGUGAUGUCGUCAUUAUCAGCGAGAUAUUUGCUUACCCUUUCAGGUUUUAAUAUGAACUGACAGUUUUAUGCUUGUUUUGAUAAGUAUGUUAUUUGGUAUUAGUGUUUGGUAACAGCUGCUUAAAAGUUUAGGAGUAUACUGGUGGUGGAUGUGGCUAUGCUUUUUGCAGAAGCCCUGCGUCCUUGCAAUAAUUCUAUGGGUCCUAAAACUGCUGUAAUUAUAAAUUAUUAAUGCAGUAUGAAAUAUCAUAUCAAUUUGAUAACUUAUGAGGAUUUAAAUUUACUAGGUUAAAUUUACCUUCUUUCCUUUUGUUAUACACGGUUACCUGGUACAACAGUUUAUAAAUGAAUCACAAGCUACUAAAUUAGCAUAGGGCGGCACAGUAAUUGGCUAGCCAGGUAUGUGCCGAUCGCAGAACAUGAAGCUCACCAUUAAGGAGAUCUCUUGCCAUUCCUCUUCUAACGAAUAGUGUAGUAUCAUCAACAGAAACUACAGAAGACUGGAGCACCUGCCAAAUGUCAAAAGAAUCGAUGACAAGAUAUCUCGAUAAACACCAUGUUCUAAAGCUUCUGAGUUUCUAACCCCCCAUUUUCCCUCUUCCAAUUCCCGCUACUUCGGAAAAUAACUUUUACUUGGAAAAUAACUUUUAAUCUGAGGAAAGUUGAAAGCAUUGGUAGGAGUGAAAAUGGGCUUCGCAAUAGGAAAUAGCGCUGAGGAUCAGAGUACAAAAGACUGCAAGAUAAAAGAACGGCUGAUCUGAUACCAGUUGAUAAUUUUUACCUUAAUAGCGGCAUCAUGGUCCCGAACCAUGCGCUCAACCCGGAAAAGCAAUGUUCUAUGGGCAUGAACCUCUCUCUCCCUGUUCUUCAAAGGACGUCGAGCUAGCCGACCAUCAUUUUCAGCUGCCUCCAAAGCCAUCUCUUCCAGGUCUUUAAGGAUUUUAAGGGAACAAAAAAAAAAAGAAGCCAAAUUUAUCAUCACAUCAACCGUGCAAAUGUAGCAUGACGUUUUCCUUAUACUCGCAAAUGCAAGUGAGAUGAUUCAAAACCUUUAACUGAUGUGGCAGAUAAAACUCUAGCAAAUGCGCGUAGAGCCUGCGGAAUGCCCUUCCCUUUUCCUUCGGCAGAUUUAACUUCCCUGCAACAAUCAAUUCUUGAAUAUUUUAUUCUCUCUCCUUUUUUUUUAAUGGCUAAGAUUUGCCUUUUCUCAAGAAUGAAAUGUUAACAGAAAAAGAUUCUCUUUACACGGUACUAUAACCCCUCCCAUUGCUGCCCUUUACCGUGAAACUGAUAAUCAUCACUAUAAUAAAACUGGUGUAAUCAAUAUAAGAGGAGCCUUUCAUCAGCUUACGACAUUAAAAGCUCAUCUAACACCCAGUAUGAACUUCUGAAAUCACAAAAUCAUGAAAUAGGACUCAUGAACAGAAGUCAAAUAUCAAGUAACGAAAAUACAACACCUACUUGAUGAUAAAAGGGCCUCUCGCAUCAUUAAAACCAUCGCUCUUUGUUCCUCUAGGGAACCUAUGCUUAUUCAACAGCUCAAUUUUCGCUGCAUACAAUGGGUCAUGUGAUGGUACAUCCAUCCAUAGCUGAACCUGAAAUCAAUAGGCACUUCCUCCUUAAACCUGGAAUAUCCACCACUAGCAGCAAGCACGGGAGUCCAUAUACACGACAAAACAUAUAUACUAGACAUAACGGUUCUUAUGAAACACAGAAUAAGGCUACACAUUGAUUUGCCAGGGAACCAGAGAAUUACCUGAUCAUAAAUGUUGUUUGGAACAGUAAAACCAAAGUCUAGGAGGAGAGUAGCAUUAGAGAACUUCCCAUAUCUUAUCAUAACCUGGAAACACAAUUAACAAAUUAAAAUGAUACUUACAUUAUUAAGACUUUGUCACCAAUUCAUUAAAUGAACUUCAACAUUGACUAAAUAACGAGUUAAACUAUAGGCUGCUUAAAUCUUUGCCAGGAGGUCAAGCACAAGUUAGAAAAGAGAAAAGAAAAUAAAUAAAUAAAUAAAGCUCUACUACAGCCUCAUGUAAUUAUUGCGAAAGAUUUAACGAAAGCAAGAAAAAAAAAAGAAAAGAAUUGCAACUAAUGCAGUCGAGCAAAAUGAUACCGGUUCACCAACAUCGUAAUCCCUAUCAGCAAGUACCUGAACAAUGUUUUGCAAGCAUCAAUCAGAAACUGAAUGCCUUGGGGUUUUAUAAGCUUUUACCACGAUCAGAAUCAAGUAAAAUAGAUGGCAAGUUAGAAUUUGAAGUCAUAGAACUUACUUCAUCCAACAGAAACAUUUAAGAUUAGCAUGAUGUACAUAGAAAAGACUAGAAGAAUGAACAAAUUUAAAGACUAUUUCUUGUUACUUACACCAGCAGACAGAGAGUACUAUCAUUUGAAGGACAAAUCACAUGAAAGCAAGCCUUCAACUUUUCAAACCUGAAAUACAAGAACUUGGCAUCCUAGAAGUGAAUAUUUUUUGUUUGCUUAAAAGAAUCCCACAACUUGUUUAAUUGCAUAUUUGUCCACUCCAAAGAUUCAAGUAUGUGAAAAACAUUAGCUGAUAUUAGGUAUUUAUAAAACGAAUUUUCGCAUCCAUAAAAUUUAAGCUACUUCUUCACUGACUUGUCGUACAUACAAGUAUUCUUAUGAUACCACUGGAAAUAACAGCCCUCACAAUUCAAAGCAAGCAUGUGGUCAUCCUGGUUAAGGUCCAAUUUAUGUCCAAAUAGCUCAUAAGCUCAUUAUUAUCACCCAAGCUUUUCUCCAAUAUUAUAAAACUGUCUACAGCCCAACUGAAAAAUGGAGGUCUUAAUAACAUAAAUUGACUUCUGCAGUUGACAAUACUGGCAUCAGCCCUUCAGAAACUACUUAUACUUUCCAGUAAAUAAAACACAAAACAAUAGAGUCUUACCAUUUUCAGUCAUAAAACCAAUUGGUAUAAACCAAAGUUCUAAGUGCCCAUCGGCACGGACCGUAUCCACUGUGCCAACAAGAUAUCGGCACGAUACAGACCCCGUGCCAAUGGCACAGCUUAAAACCCUCUAUUCUUUAAAUUAGUAAGUGAUUUCCUCAAUAAAGUUCAAAAGAUGAGAUAAAAAGACGUAAUAAAUAAUUUGAAUAUUUUGUUGCUAAAGAAAAUAAAUAUUUCAUGCUAUUAUGUGCCGGCACACAAGAAUUUUUUUGACCGACACGCACCGUGCCGUACCGUGCCGGCAAGUUUUCGGCACAAUCCCGUGCCACGGCACUUAAAUCCUUGGUAUAAACUUCAUUCAUGAGUUGGCCAGCCAAGCAGGAAAUCGAAUGAAAAAAAAGAGACAAGUACCUCUGAAAUUUCUUUGUAGUCAUCACUUAAUAACAGGGAAUCUGAAGUACCAUCGUGAUUUAGGAAAUCUGCGAAUGGGAUCUACAAUUGGCUAUUCAGAUUGCGAAUAUGAAAUGUAACGCAUCACAUAUUUUAUCCUUCACACACCAAAGAAAAAAGAAGAAAAAAAGACGUACUAUAAAGAAAAGGAAGUCAAGGAAUCAUACCAAAGAUACACCUUUUGAAGUCUUCCAAGCUCGAGAUGAAACUGCAUGUUUGCAAAAAAAAAUUAGCUUAAGAUUUGGCAAAAGAAAUAGACAGGAGUGGAAUGAAGCAUAUAUUGUUCAAUCAUGAAAUCCUGUACAAUAAGCAAUAUGAUCAUAAAAAUUAGGGAAAGUUUAAAAACUUCCCCUAGGACUUGCCGUGAAGUUAAGAAUGAGCAUGCGAUAAUCACAUAACUUAUUUUAAUUAUAAUAAAUAGGGAUUGAAUUCUUUAAUUUUAUUUAUUCUUCUAAUAUAUAGCUGUUGGAUGAGUCACUUAAUUGCCACUUUCUUUGUUCGAAAAUCAUUUUAACAAGAGGUGUUAACAGAAUACCAGAAAAAGCAACCGUAGUAAAGCACUCACUUUGAAAUACAUGGUGGUAAAGUAGAAUUAAGUUCCAACAGUUCAAAGCAGAGUAGAAAAGGAUGAAACAAACACUCAACCUGAUAAAACUGAUGGUUAAACUUUAUCAUAUGACACUUCAGCCAAAUACACUAAUGCUAACAUGUAUGUCUUCAAAAUCCCUAAAGAAUUUCUACUAUAUUUAAACACACAUACAAAAGGUGGGACAAGAAAGCACAAAGGCACCCAAAAUCCCAAGUUCACAAGUUCACAACCUAUUUGCCAGGCCAAUAGCUUCUAACUGUAGGAAGGCUCAGGUUUUCACCUAUCGGGACACUAGAUAACUACUCCUAAAUAAUGUGAAAUUUGACAUUUCAAAGGAUAGAAAAAUCUCAUGAUAUUCUAAGAUACAACAAAUAUGUAAGAUCUCAGCGCCGUGAAACUGCUUAAGUUCACCUUUCACAGUAAGCAAAAGUGCCAACAAAUCAACCUAGUGUAGGGUAAAGGACAAAUAGUUAGAAUACGUUGCAACAUUACAUUAUAGUAAAGUAUAAACACUUAUUCAACAUUACGGACUUUAGACGUUGCAAUAAUAACCAAGUGCAAUUGUAGCUUACCCAAAGCACAUGCAUGCAUGAAAUUCUCCAACCUGAUGUCACCAAAAAUCUGGGGGAAACACUCCAAAGCCUAAAGAUAUUUAAAUAAUAGAUCAACCAACUAAAAAUGGAGAAAUUUUAACUUUAACUAGAAUAAGACAGUUUGAAUCAUCAUCAUGAACGAAUAGUAUCUACAUAAAUCAUCAAACCCAGGUGAACUUGCAUAGGUUUGCUUACUAUGUAAAACUAUUCUAUUAUAUUGUGCGCGAACUGCAUGACAUAAUUCUAUAUAUGCUUUUGAGAAAGGAAGAAAAAUUAGAAGAAACAAGAAAAAAAAGAAGAAGCUGAUAUUAAAAACCUGAAAAACCAAAUGACAAUAUUUUAUAUUUGGCCCAUGCAUUACAUGAUUAAUAGUACGACUCUGAAAACUGCAUUACACUUGGCAAAAGUGCCAUCAAAGAUCAAAAGCAGCUUAUAGAAAGAAAUUAAUACCUCUUACUUUCCAUUACAGAACCGAUUCUGAACCAUAUGAUUUCAGCUUGAUCUUUUCGCUCACUUAGAAAGCAAAUCUAUACUAGAUAAUAGUUAUAGCAAUUGCAUCAAAACAGGCACUCAAGUCCUAUCAUUUCUUUGCUAUCCAUGGUUAAGCCCUCAUUUCUAUACAAUACCUAAGGGUGUCUGUCAGCAAGGAAGAAAUAUGUAAGAUAAGAUGAAUAUUUCUAAGAUCCUAUCAUCUACAACUAAAAAAAUCAUCUUAAAGCAUAAAUUUGGGACAAGAUAGCCAAAAGACAAAAAAUGGAAGAGACACAGAUGUAAGAUAAGCUAGCAACUAAAUGAAGAUCUUAGAAAGUAUUACAAACUGGUUUAAGAGCAAAAAAUUCCUUCUCAAUGUUUGCUUUGUGCUCAAUAGUUUCCUUGUAAACUGGGCUUUGACUUAUCAUCUGCAGGUCAUCUUCACUCCAGAAUAUCUGUAAUGUAAUAUAAAACUGCAAUACUCAAUAUUAACAGUACUGCAGUACCGAAUGUGAUUUCCUAGUGCUAAAAUAAGACACAUCAAAAAAUAAUGAGGGAAGAUGCAGAAGCCACAAGAAUAACAUCCUACCACAUUUUCAUAUAAAGAACAAGAAUUUCCAAGCAAAAACCAUUUAUAAAUGAAAACACGCAUACUAUAUUCAGAUAUAAGAAUUUUUAAAUUGUAUGUCUAGCAGUUUGAUAAUGCUUUUUGCCUUUCUGAUAUCAACAGACAGUACAUGCAGCCCAUGUUUAAACAUGUACUUCUUGUAGUACCAUAUUCUUAUAAAUCUUUACUAACUCUAAUUUGUAACACAAAAGUGAGGAUGUAAGCCGCUAUGAAAUCCCGUUCCCUCCAAUUCUAAAUGAAAAAAAGGAGAGAAAAUGACAGCGAAAAUUUUGGAUAGCCACAAGCUAACAACCUUGUUUACUAAAUGCCAUUUAGUCUUGGAAAAUAAUUUUUUCCAGUUAUUCAAAUCUUGCAUUUUCAUACAUAAUGAUUGUGGGGAAAAGAAAACGCAGCACAAUAUGUAGGUCAAUUACUAGCUAAAAUGUAGGUAUAAUUGCAAUUAUUGAGACUAUAAUUGCAAUUAUUGAGACCAUUUCGCAACAACCUUUCAACUGCUGAGCAAUUAUCAUUAUCUUAACUGGAGUACCGUGUUAUGCAUCUCAUCCAUUUGAGGGAGACUAGUAAUAUAGGCCGCCCAUCGAGAUUCCUAAUGAAGAAGAAAAAGAUGAUAAGUGGAAUAUCGUGUUUUCCAAAAUAACAGAAAAUUAAUGUCACACAGUAAUCGGCCUCAAAAAGGCAAGAUUAAACACGAGCUAGAAUGUAACACAUUUUCAAAAAACUAAUACCAUUCCCAGUUUCUGCUCUGCCAUAAGUACCACGGCAACACAUGACACACUUCCAACACCAUAAUCAAUAAACGGGGAGAUUUCCAAAGGGAAUUUAUCUGAAGUGAGAUGCUGCAUAAUGGAAGUCAAUUACAAUGCCACCACCCCAAAUAAAACGUCUGGAAAAACAGGUGCAGAAGAAAAUUGGAGCUUACAACACUGUAAGGAACCUUCAGCAUACAGUCUCCAGCGUGUAUUGCCGUUGAUGCAUACAAUGAUCUGCAUUCAGUAAAAGACAGAUCACAUGAAUUGGCAUCCCAUUGUAUAAGCGCAUAAAAUUCACAUGUAUAACUUGUGUUGUGAGACAAUGAAUUAGUUCCACCCUGCAAUAAAGAGUUGAAGGAAUCAAAGCAAACUAAAGCAAUCAAGAAAACAACACAAGAAACUAUGAAAAGAAAAAAAUUCAAAGUUAGAAUCGGACAAAGCAAGUUCGAGAGUAAAGUGAAACAAAGAAAAAAAAAUCAACAUAACAUAGAAAAGAAAGCACUUAUAACCUGCCAAAGGCAGAAUUUCCAACCGAUAGCACCGAGGAUACCUCAGUGCCUGCUUUUUGUUGCAACCAUGGCAAGAAUUCACAGCAUUCAUUGUUUAUCUGGCGAGCCUGAAAAGUAACAAAGAGAUAACAGAGUAAUUCCCUGAAAAUUUCAAAAAAAAAAAAAAAAAAAUCCUAGUUACAACAAUAAGAAAUGACAGUGCAAGAUUAUGGUAAUUUUAAAAUAUGGCUAACUCUCAGAAGAUGAUCUGUUACAGAUAACCUUUGAAAGACAAAAGAGCAUGGCAUUGGCCAUUCUACUAAUAAUCUUUCUUGGCUGAACAGUUCCCAAUAUAGACAGACACCUUGGAGUUCAAAAAGGCUAACACUUGCGAUUACAAACAGAGCUACGCCUAAGGCAUGGUAGAUUUCACAAACUUUCAUGAUGUUAAUUGGCAUUUCAGGUGCAAUAGACCUUCCAAAUAUUUACUUCUUGCAACUCCAAUUAAUGAAUGAGAUUACACAGAACAUGGCGAUAACCAAUUAAACAACUAUCACAAGCAGAUAUGACUUCAUGCAACAAGAAACUUAUCAAACGAUAUCUAUUUGAUCAGUAUCUAAAAUCUUCAACAAUCUAAUGCUCCGUAUGAUGCUUAUAGUGAGAUAAAACCGUUAAUACAAGACCAACGAUCAAUUGGAUCGUCCAAACAGCAAAAUGUGACAUAUCUAAGCCAAAGUAAACAAUAAAUCGUAAUCCACGAACACCGAAACCCUAAUCUGGUCGAACCGAUCUCAAGCAACCUAAUAGAUCAACGAUCCGAUGAAUCGGCCCCACGAAAUUGUCCAUCUCGCCAAAACCACCACAAGAACUCGCGAUUUUACGCUCUCUCGAUCACGCUAGGGUUAGUGCGACGAAAUUGGGCGACGGAGAGAGAGAGAGAGGAGACGAACCUUCGAAGAAAAAGAGUGUGCGAGAGAGGAGAGAUCGCGACGGAGACGAGGAGAUGGAACGAUCGAGGAGAAGCGGAGGAGGGAGUGACGAGCGAUUCGAACUCCGGAGACCAUUCUCGCACUCUCCUCCCUCCACAAUUCGAGCCAUCAAAGAAGAUACAGUGGCCCUUAAAUAGGGUUGUUAAUAGGUCUGGGCUUGUUUUAAUGGACCGCAUUUGGGCCCAUGAUCUGAUAAAUUAGGAAUUAGGAAAUACUUCAUAUUAGGUUCUGGCCUAACUCGGCCUAUAUACAACUGGGCCUAUGAUACGGAACACGCUGAUGGAGAACAAAUUGGUGCCUGCACCCGGUGCACCACGCUAGUCCGUGCACCCACUGGCGUAGUCAAUAUUCGGUCUCAGUGCGAGAAGCCUUAGAUUGGAAUUUUUGUAUAUGCUAUAUAAGGACAAGUAGUUGACAGCCCUAUUUAUCUAAUUUUCAUCACAAUGAUUUGUAUACCGCAACUUAAUUAAGUAGUAUUGUAUUUCAUUACAGAGCUUAAUGCAUUCUAAAUGAAUGUCGUAGUCAGCAUUCGGCCAAUAAAUAACCGCUUGUUGACGCUUUAAAAGUUGCGCCACGUGGUGAACCAAAAUGCACCGUGAGCAUGGUUCCUGAAACCAGAAUAGACUACAUGUGGUGCACCGGGAAAAGAGAAGAAUAUACUUGAAACUGAAAAGUGAUUAAAGUUUAUACGGUUAGGAUCGGUCGAUAGUGGUCUACAAAAUCAGGCGCGUGGCAAAUCAUGGGAAAUAACUGAAUAAAUGGGCGAAUUUAUAAAUAAACGAAGAACGCCCGACAAAGGGAUCUUUUUCUCCCGAGAAUAAGAAGACUUUUUUUUUUUUUACAUUUUUCACUUUCUAGAAAUAAUUUACUUGUAAUCUUUUCGUCUUUCUUUACAUUUAUUGCUUUUUCCCAGGAGUAGUUUUAGAAUAAUUUUUCUUCAUAUCAAACGCUUAGCGACAACUUUCUCUUAUAAACAUUAUCCUUUUAUUGCAACCGAAGUUAUUGUGUAAUAUUGUUUCUUAAUUGCAAUAUAUAUAUAUAUAUAUAUAUAUAUAUAUAUGUAUAUAUAUAUCAACAACAUUCGGCUCUUCAGUCGAACCAAAGUUAUUGCGUAAGAUUGAACUUGGCUGAUUUGAUACCUCAUCAGCUGAAUUGAUUGAUUCAACUGUAGGCACAGACUUCGAAGAUCAUCAUCCAAUAGCCACUUCACUCCUUUGCGCGUUUUUCGAAGGAAGACGUUGACCAAAUCAACGGUCAAGAAAUUCGGCUCGCGGCACCGGUAUUAUAGUUUUUGUGGCGUCAAAUUGGAAUUUUUGUAUAUACGAUAAAGAUAAGUCGUUGAGAGUCCACUUAUCUUAAAUUCAUAACAAUGAUUUGUAUCCGACAACUGAAGCUCACCAUUAAGGAGAUCUCUUGCCAUUCCUCUUCUAAUGAAUAGUGUAGUAUCAUCAUCAGAAACUACAGAAGACUGGAGCACCUGCCAAAUGUCAAAAACAUUUAUUGCUUGUAAUCUUUUCAUCUUCCUUUACAUUUAUUGCUUUUUCCGAGGAAUAGUUUCAGGAUAAUUUUUUUUCACAUCAAACGCUUAGCGACAACUUUCUCUUAUAAACAUUAUCCUUUUAUUGCAACCGAAGUUAUUGUGUAAUAUUAUUUCUUUAUUGCAACAUACAUAUAUCAACAACAUUCGACUCAUCAGCCGAACCGAAGUUAUUAUGUAAGAUUGAACUUGGCUGAUUUGAUCCCUCAUCAGCCGAAUCGCUUGAUUCAACUGUAGGCACAUACUUCGAAGGUCAUCAUCCAAUAGCCACUUCACUCCUUUGCACGUUUUUCGAAGGAGGACGUUGAUCAAAUCAACGGUCAAGAAAUUCAGCUCGCAGCACCGGUAUUAUAGUUUUUGUGGCGUCAAAUUGGAAUUUUUGUAUAUACGAUAAAGAUAAGUCUUUGAGAGUCCACUUAUCUUAAAUUCAUAACAAUGAUUUGUAUCCGACAACUGAACUAAUUAGUAUUAUAUUUCACAAUAGAGCUAAACAUAAUGAAUGUCAUAGUUAGCAUUUGGUCAAUAAACAACAGCUAUUAAAGUUUUGAAGCGUCAAAUUGAAAUUGUUGUAUAUACUAUAAUGAGAAGAUGUUGAGUCUGUUUAUCAUAAUUUCAUAACAAUGAUUUGUAUCUAACAACUUAAUUAAACAGUACAUUGUAUUACACCACAUAGUCAAAUAUUUUCUAAAUGAAUAUCGUAGUCAGCUUCAGUCAAUAAAUAACCACAACUAAAGUUUUGAAGCGCCAAAUUUGAAUUUUUGUGUAUGCUAUAAAGAGAAGUUGUUGAGAGUCUAUUUAUUCAAUUUUCAUAACAAUGAUUUGUAUGCGACAACUUAAUGAAACAAUAUUGUUUUUCAUAACAGAGUUAAAUAUUAUCAUAAAUGAAUAUUGUAGUCGGCAUUCGGUCAAUAAAAAAUCAUAGUCUUGAAAUGUCGAAUUGAAAAUUUUGUAUAUGCUAUAAAGAGAAGUUGCUGUGAGUCUAUAUGUCUAUAAUUUUCAUAACAAUGACUCGUAUGGGACAACUUAAUUAAACAGUAUUGUAUUUCAUAACUGAGCCAAGUCCUCGGUCAAUAAACAACCACUAUUACAGCUUCUGCUGGUUGAAAAUAAAAAUAGAGUUCUAAAAUCAAAAGAUAUUAGAAGCUUCAAAUUCAAAACCUCUAUAUCCAUUACUGACAAAAGUUGUAUGUGUGUAGUCUAUUGAUUUAAUUUUUCUAAGAUUUUUUAAAACUUUUUUUUUAAAUUUGGUUGCGUUGAAUGUUUUCUGAGGUCACGUUGGCUCAAUCCAUAUAGCUAAAUUUAUUUGCUAAAGGAAUAAAGCUUUCUCAAAAAAAAAAAAAAUCACAAUACCACAUCAUAUGCAUUAUUAUUUUAUUAAAUAGUAAUAUGUCUUAUGGCAAAGUUAAAUAUGUCCUAAUAAACUGUUUAUAUUCCAAUAAAUCGGUUAAAAAAAUUCAGCCCUUAUCUCGACAGCAAAUGGUCAUUGCACGUUUUUUUUUUUUUUCUUUUUUUUGACUUAGGUCGUUGCACGUUUUAAUUAAGUUUCCCAAUAGAUAUCAGGAUGGGUAGGCCGAAUUUUAGCUAUUAAUCGAAUAUAAAUAAAGCAAAACCCAAAAAAUCAACAGAUAUAUAUAGCAUAUUAUGAUUUUACAUUAAUAAAUAAACUAAGCAAUAUUUCUUAUUAAUACCAACAGAUACGUAUUAAGAACAACAAUUACUACGUGACAAAAUACGAUACAUAAUACGACACAGUAAUUAAGUACAUACAACAGACAAAAUCACGUAUGAUAACUAAACCAUCCACGAGUACUUGUGGGUUUCUACGAAACCACACCUUCCUGCGAAACGACCACAUUUUCUCACCCAACGAAUUUUUUAUUCCGCGUGGUCGAAUCGCUGCUGCCCACGUGUCGAAACUCCUCCCCCGCUGUUUGAAAACAAGAAUCGGCGUUCCUCGCCGACCAGCUACUACUAGCCGUUUCCUAUAAAUUCACCAGCACUAGCUACUACCGAGAAAUACACUAUCUCUCUCUCUCUCUCUCCCAUCCAUCCGUCCGUCCAUCGUUUCGUGUUGGACUUUUUACUACUCCGGGAAUCGGCGUAGUAGCGUGCACGCAUCUCAGCGCACAGGUUGCCUCGCUUGCAUCACCGUCCCGCCUUACUAUAUACAUAGCUAAUGUCGUCGUUUGCUAAUGCGCUCCGGUACUUGAAAAUGGACGGAAAGGAACCCAAAGUCGGCGCCGCACCUCCGCCCGCGGCGGUCUCCUCCGCUAAAGUCGGCGCCGACUCCGAAGNCAUCUUUUCUCUCUCUCUCUCUCUCUCUCUCUCUCUCUCUCUCUCUUGCGUAGUCGCGUUCCCAUCCAUCCAUCCGUCCAUCGUUUCGUGUUGGACUUUUUACUACUCCGGGAAUCGGCGUAGUAGCGUGCACGCAUCUCGACGCACGGGUUGCCUCGCUUGCAUCACCCGUCCCGCCUUACUAUAUACAUAGUAGCUAAUGUCGUCGUUUGUUAACACGCUCCGGUGCUUCAAAAUGGAGGGGAAGGAACCCAAAGUCGGCGCCGCACCUCCGCCCGCGGGGGCCUCCUCCGCCAAAGUCGGCGCCGACUCCGACGCCCCCGCCGACCACCACCACGUCGUCGACCUCGUCGACGACGCCGCCAAGGCGCCGGGGAACGUCCCCUUCCUCCUCGAGUUCACGGACCUAACGUACGCCGUCAAGCCCCGCGGCAGGAUCCCGUUUCUGCCACGCGGCGGCCGCGAGAAGACCCUGCUGGACUCGGUGUCGGGCGCGGCGCGCGAGGGCGAGAUCCUGGCCGUGCUCGGCGCGAGCGGGUCGGGCAAGUCCACGCUGAUCGACGCGCUCGCGAACCGGAUCGCGAAGGAGAGCCUCCGCGGCUCCGUCACGCUCAACGGCGAGCAGAUCGACGGCCGUUUGUUCAAGGUCAUCUCCGCUUACGUCAUGCAGGACGACCUGCUGUACCCCAUGCUCACCGUCCGCGAGACGCUGACGUACGCCGCCGAGUUCCGGCUCCCCCGGUCCAUGUCCCGGGCCAGGAAAGAAAGCCGGGUCCAGGCCCUGAUCGACCAGCUCGGCCUGCGCCGCGCCGCGGACACUAUAAUCGGGGACGAGGGCCACCGCGGCGUCUCCGGAGGGGAGCGGCGCCGCGUGUCGAUCGGCAUCGACAUCGUCCACGACCCGAUGGUUUUGUUCCUGGACGAGCCCACGUCGGGGCUCGACUCGAGCAGCGCGCUCAUGGUGGUGCAGGUGUUACAGAGAAUCGCGCAGAGCGGGAGCAUCGUGGCUAUGUCGAUCCACCAGCCCAGCUACCGCAUCCUCGGCCUCCUCGACCGCAUCAUGUUCCUCUCGCGCGGCCGGGGCGUGUACUACGGCCCCGUCGACGGCCUCUACCCCUUCUUCUCCGAGUUCGGGAGCCCCGUCCCCGACAACGAGAACCCGGUCGAGUUCGCGCUCGACCUCAUCCACGAGCUCGAGCGCUCGGCGGACCCCGCAGGUCGCAACGCCCUCAUCGAAUUCAACGAGUCGUGGCAGGAGCUCGAGAGGUCAAAGUCGACAUCCCCCGCGACCUCCCCAUUACAAAUGCCUCUCAAAGAUGCUAUCAGAGCGAGCAUAUCGCGGGGGAAGCUGGUGUCCGGAUCGGAGACGACGUCAGAAUCCGAUACAUCGGCGUCCCCCGUCCAGACAUACGCGAACCCGUUCUGGGUCGAGAUGGCCGUGCUCACCCGACGCGGGUUCACGAACACGCGGCGGAUGCCGGAGCUGCUGGCGAUACGGGUCGGGACGGUGAUGGUGACGGGGUUCAUCCUCGCCACCAUCUUCUGGCGGCUCGACGACUCGCCGAAGGGCGUGCAGGAGCGCCUCGGCUUCUUCGCCAUGGGCAUGUCGACCAUGUUCUACACGUGCUCCGACGCCCUCCCCGUCUUCCUGCAGGAGCGCUACAUCUAUAUGCGGGAGACCGCGCACAACGCCUACCGCCGGGUGUCCUACGUCGUCUCCAACGCCAUCGUCGGAUUCCCGCCCCUCAUAAUCCUAUCCAUCGCGUUCGCCCUCACCACCUUCUUCGCGAUCGGGCUCUCCGGCGGCUUCCCCGCCUUCCUCUAUUUCACGCUCAUGAUCCUGGCGUCCUUCUGGGCCGGGAGCGGCUUCGUCACCUUCCUCUCCGGCAUCGUCAAGCAAGUGAUUCUCGGAUACACCAUCGUCGUGGCCAUCCUCGCCUACUUCCUCCUCUUCAGCGGUUACUUCAUAAACCGUGACAGGUCUGCAUGCAAUUCCAACUGCACUUUAUAUAUAUAUAUAUAUAUAUAUAUAAGCGUAAAAAACGGUGUUUUAAUAUUUUAUAUUGAACAAACAGGAUUCCGCACUACUGGAUUUGGUUCCACUACCUCUCGCUUAUAAAGUACGCCUACGAGGGGGUGCUGCAGAACGAGUUCGGGGGUAGCAGCGGGGCCGCGAAGUGCUUCGUGCGCGGGGUGCAGAUGUUCGACGGGACGCCGGUCGGGGACAUGCCGUACAGCGCGCAGUUGAAGGUGCUGUCGGUGAUGAGCAAGACGCUCGGGAGGAACCUGACGGACGCGACGUGCAUCACGAACGGCCCCGAAGUGCUGCGGCAGCAGGCGGUGACGGACCUCAGCAAGUGGGACUGCCUCUGGAUCACGGUGGCCUGGGGAUUCUUGUUCCGGAUACUCUUCUACAUUGCUUUGCAACUGGGGAGCAGGAACAAGAGGAAGUAGAUCAACUAAAUCAUAGAUUAUACAAUAACUUAGGUGUUGUUUUUUUUAUUUUUUUAUUUUUACAAGUUUAGGGAUUUGCUUUGUUCGUUCUGUGACAAUUUCGUUCGUACUUUUUUCUUAUAAAAAGUAUAUAUACAUAUAUACGUUAGAAAGAAGGAAGAGGAACAAUGAAAGCGCAUUGUAAUGUAAUUUUUCUUAUUAGUAUUUUCUUUGUAAUUAAUUGUUGUGAAAUAGAACAGCAGUUUAUUAUUAAUUACUACGUCCUUCAUUUUCGGUUCGCCGCGCGCGUUCAUUAAGCUCGAGCUGAAUGAAGCUCGGCUUGUUUAAUAAUUGAACUCUCUAUUAUUGUUAGAUUACUGUAGCUCAAAUUCACAUAGUGCUUAACUGAGCACAGCAUUUAUUACAUCAAAGUAAAAUUAAUUAAAUACUUCUUUUUCACACCUAAGUGAUUAUUAUUAUUAUUAUUAUUAUAUUAUUAUUAUUAUUUGUACAUUAGAGAUCAUAGCAAAACAUUAUCACAUACUUAAUUUGUUAAACUUUUCUUUAUUUUUUUUAUCUUAAUUGUCAAGAUGAACUUAUAAAUUGAAUCGAGGAAAUUAAUUAGGCUAGCUUAGCUCAAGCUCCUCCCACCCACAAAAUGAACAAAUUAAUCAAUUAAACUAGGAUCAACCGUCUCUAGAACAAGUGAUAAAGGGUUUGGUGAUUGAUACCCGAGGUCUCAAGUUUGAAUCCUAAUUGAUUCGCAUUUCCAACUAAAUUUAUUUUUAAAUAAAAUAAACGAUAUAAAUAGCGUGCUACCUAUCUCUCAAAAAAUCAAUCAAACUAGGAAUUAUACACGAGUACGGUUGCAAGCAACAAGAUGAACCACCUAAAAGCUGUUUUCAUAUAAGUCAAGGUGAUGAUAAAUGUAGUGUUGUGCGUGGUCCCGAAUAAUGCUGUAUAAAAUAAUAAUAAUAAUAAUAAUAAUAAUAAUAAUAAUAAUAAUAAUAUGUACACAAAAAUCAACGAGAAUCCUAUGAAAAUCAACACUUCGACGAAUUGGAAUUCAUCUAAUUGCUUAGACAUAUAAACAUAUAUACCAUAUUGGAUAAAAAAAAUUUAUUAACAAAACAAUUAGAUUUAUUAUUUGACACUUCAUUUAUACUUAGGAGGAAAUUAUUUUACGUGUAGUGACCAAAACAAAUGACUGAAAAAAAUAUAUAUAUAGUUUGUUUCCAUACGUAAUAUCAUGCACGCUCCACAUAUAGCAAUAAGUAAGCUAUAAUAUAUUUUUUAUUAUCCCAUCGAAUAACGGUAAAGAUAUUUCUAUAUGUUUUUACUCUAAUUCAAUUUUAUCUAUCAAUAUUAGAUGAGUCUUAAUAACAACUGAUUCUAAAUUCAAUAAAUAUGAACGGUAGGAACUGAAAUUUGAUUAUUUCAAUACAACCUUUUUGGUCACAUGGUUUUACUUAAUUUCUUUCCUUUUUUUUCUUGGCUUGGUUGGCUUGGUCCUUGGGCGCAUCGAGGGGCUAUAUAUGUAUGGUCAUGCGAAUUUGGUCACCCAUGUUUAUCAUGCUAUAUACGAACAUGUGGCCCCAUAGAAAAAGACCAUUUAAAUGGGAAGUGGAUGUCUCUUUUCCCAUAUAUUUGGGCAUAACUUUUGUGAUGAUCCAUUCAACGCACUCCUACACAUAAUUUUUGUGUUUCUAACAAGAAACUACCUAACUUUGGAAGCAUGUGGCCUCCUUUCUAUUCCUUACAUAUAUAACAAUAUAGUGUCCUGCUUGGUCCAAAGUACACCUCUCUACGCUGUUCAUUCAUUGCCCUGCUAUGACCAACAAGCCAUCGACCUAGCUAGUCCGUGAAGUGCAUUGCUCGAAUCUCAAAACAGCGUUGAACGGUAAUUAAACAUGUUUAAUUUGAUGAUCUUAUUUGUGGAAUUAAUGGUCCUUGUAAAACUAUUUUGUGAAACUACAUAACAAAGAACAAGUUAGGUUUUUUUACAUGUAUAUAUAUAGAGAGAGAGAGAGAGAGAUCUAGAGAGAGUAUAGGGCUACUAUGCUAUUAGGAGUACAACAAUUCUUGUGCUCCUAAUUUUCUAAUUAUCCAUCUAUUUUGAUAGAUAGUUAGGGUCGAUGAGAGAAAGAAAAGAAAUUGGGCGUCUCAAUUUAUCUUUUUUUUUAAUUUAUUCUUAAUUUCUCUUCUCUCUCUCACUCUAACCAUUUAUCAAAAUUGAUGAAUGGCUAGAAAAUUAGAAAUACAAGGAUUGUUGUGCUACUAAUGAUACAGUAGCCUACUAUAUAUGUAUACAUAAAUUUUUAGUAAUUUCAAAGAGAAAUGGUAGGUCUACAAUAUAUCAAAAAAAAUAGAUUGUAAAGAUUACAAGAAUUUAACCAAUCUUUUUGGAAUUUUAAUAUUAAAAAAAAGAAUGAAAAUAUAAGUGCUGUACGUAAUUUUAGCCGGUGGAUAGAGAUGUUGUAAGAUUACAACUAAAAAAUGCUCAAUUUCAAAAUUGGGUAUUCUUAUCAAAAUGUCCUUACCUUAACUGUAGGAAUGUAGGAAUCACCAUGUAAUAGCCGUUGAAUCACCACCAUGUAAUAGCCGUUGAAUAGUAUAAUCUAACGAGUAAAAAUAAUAAAAAGGUUAAAUCUAACGAUGGAAAACAAAUAGCACUAAAUUCUUGGUGCUAUCGAUAGUAUCCCAACCGGACUCUAUAGAUAUAUAUACAUGUAUAUAUAUAUAAUGUAAAACAUAUGUAACUUAAAAAGGUUUAUAUAUACUAAUUUCAAGGAAAAUUAAAAGAUUGUAAUAAAAAUUUGAAAACAACUACAUAGGAGAGAAAUUAAGGAUAAAUAAAGGAAGAUAAACAUUGGACGCUAGCAACAAAAAAAAAAAAAGGACAAAUGAAAUUCUCUUUAAUCUUUCCGACUUUUACUCAUCAUCCUACAUUCAAGAUCAUCUAAUCCUAUCAGACAAAAAGGAAUUGGAACAAAUUACAAAAGGACGUAGUUUUUUAUUUUUCAAAAGAACUAUAAAAAAUAUAUUAUAUCCGAUUCAUUGUAAUACAAUAUAAUACAAUAUACACUUACUCAUUUGUCGUAUGGAGAUUUAAGCCUCACAUAUAUGCUAGUUCUAUAUAUAUGUAAGUGUCACAUCGUAUAAUUUUUCAGGUUUUCCAAGUAGGAUGGAGUUGGUAUUGGUCAAAUACGUUAGUGGCUUAUCUUUGCGCAUGUUGUGGCUAAAUUUGCUGCGUAGAUGUCCAAUUUUUCUAUGAUCAUUUUUUGUCACCUUCCUAUGUUUGGUCAGAUAUAUUAGUCCAAUAACGGAGCCAAUUAAUUAGACCAAGAAAAUUCAUUUUUUCUCUCUAACAGAGAUAUUUUACGUAAAAUUUAGUCCAAUAACAGAGCCCAUUAAUUAGACCAAGAAAAAUCGUUUUUUCCCUCUAACAGAGAUAUUUAGACCAAGAAAAAUCAUUUUUUCCCUCUAACAGAGAUAUUUUUGCGUAAAAUUAAUUAUUUAUUAAUGACACUAUGCUAUGUGAGUUUUUUUUUUAGAGAUAGAUAGCACGCUACCUGCUUUCGUUUAUUUCAUUUAGAAAUAAACUUAACUGAAAAUGUGAAUCAAUUAGGAUUCGAAAUUAGGUCUCGGGUACCAACCACCAAGCCUUUUGCCAUGUGAGUUAAAAAAAAAAAUAUAAGAUAAUCAAUAAUAAUUCUAAGCAAGAGAAACGAAUCAAACAAGAAUUAAUAUUGGUUCUGCAAUUAAUAGUAGAUACUAAUAUUUCCAACAAAAUUGGUCCUACUUUCCUCUUUGAGGUGAUAAAUUAGUGCAUGUGGGUAAUAUUUUACGAAAAAAGAGAGGGUACGUGUGUCAAUUUUAGCUUCUGUAGAAAGAUGGGUUAAAUUUUGACAAAAUUAAUGUGUUCAAUCUUUCCAUGCAUUUUGAUUUAGCAAGUCAGCUUAUUGCAUGACAUUAUCAGUUGAAUAUAAAUAUUAAAAAUAUAAUUUUUUAAUAGCUUAAGAUUUUAAAAACAUAAUAUUUCAUAUUAUUUAAUUAACAUAAUAUCAAGAUAAAAAGUUUUGAUUUUAAGUCUCAUCAGCAAGCUCAUAGCAUUAUUUAAUAUGUUAUAGGAGAAGUGUUAAAUAUAUAUAUAUAGCUUAAACUUUUCUUUCCAUCUAGCACUCUUUCAAUCCGAUCGCUCUGUAGAUAUCGAUAAGAUAUUGGUAUUAUUUGGGAUAAAUUGAAUUAUACCAGUUUGAGAAUCCGCAACCUGCUCUGAUACCGACUACUAUUGAUCUGAUACUAAACGAAUUGUAUUUUUAUCACAAAUCCCUUUUCUCAGCAAAAUCUAACACAAUCACAAAAGAGAGAAAAAUCAAACAGAAAAAUAUUUAAAUAAGAACAAAUUAUAGCUGACUCCUAUUCUGUAUAGAAUAGAUAGCUACAACCUGAUCGAUUACUCUUUCUGAAUCUCUUCCAUCCUUCUCUCAUUUUUAAUAAACAUAAAAGACUUUUCUAGUUGGACGCAUCCAUGUACUAAGUGCAUGCAAGCAUGGCCAUCUCUCACUCUCUCUCUCUCUCUCCACCGUACUUCACGGAGGCUCAUUCAAGUUUUAUACAUUGAGCUCUAUAUAUAGAAAUAUUAAUUUAUUUUUAAUAGAUUUAAAUAUUUUUAUCUCUAAUAAAUAUUUAAAUCUUAAUCCGUCUUCUUCAAUAAAUUUAAAUAUUUAUUCUAAUUAAUUAAAAAUCUGGCGCAUCUACGUGGAGUAUGGGCUCACAAUACGGUAUAUAAUUCCGUAACGGCCACAAGUUGUACGGCCAUGCAAAGCCACAUUAUAUGACUCACGAACGUAUGCAAUAAUACCACGUGUAACUCAACGGUCGACUAAUGUGACCUUGAACGAAAAGGAGCAUUAAUUUUCCAACACGCUAUUGACGUUUCAAUGCUCGAUUAGUUUCUGUGUUACAUCUAUCCACGUGUCCUCCUCAAUAAGUUUGAAAUCUGAAUACUCUAUUUUUUUGAGAUUACUCUUAAGUUUCCAAUAAAAUUUUGACGAAAUAAAGAUGUAAUUUGAAAUCUUUUUACUUCUUUAUAGCUAAUCCUUCUCAAUAAGCUUAUUAGUUUCCGUAGGAAACUAGGUUCAAUUUUGACAAAAUAAAGGAGUUACUCUUCCACGCAUUGCAAUAUAGUAAGUCGAAUUAUUGUAUGACAUUUAGAACCUUUUAAAUAUCGAUAUAAUUCAUAAUUAUGACAUAUAUAUAUAUAUAUACAAUAUGAGAAAAAUUUUCGCCUAUCAACUUUAAUUUCUUUGUGGGUUUCACCUAAUUAAGAUCUUUAACACAGUAUCAACACUAAAUCCGCACUUUCGAUUUAGCCCGCUCGGUGGAUCGUCAAUUAGAAUUAACUAAUUGUGAUUAAUUGGAUCAAAUAUCAGUUUUUUUUUAAAAAAAUUAUUGUUAGAUCGUCCAUUCAUCUUUAUUUUCUCUCUUCUUUUCCUGUACUUUCUUUUUUCAACUAAUCUUUGAGACCGUUAGUUGCUUUUUUUUUGACACUCAUAAUGAGAUCAAUCACUAUCUCUAGAUUAGAACUACUUGACUACAUGCACAACUCAAUAGUCUCAAUUUUGUUCGCAACUCGAUCAAAAAGUCUAUGGCUUCUCCAAAAUUCCUUCUAUUAGUUAGAAUUAACGAAUGAUUAAUUAGUAAGCUAGCCAACGCAAAGCCGCGCAAUAAUUAGGCCAUAUAGUCAUCUUUCAUAUGUUUGAAAUGUAUUGCUUGGAUUAUAAAUAGUCCACAGUUAUAUAUAGAGAAUUAAUAUUAUCAAAAAAAAGUUUUAAAUUUGGCAGAACAAAUAUAUACAUUAUAUUUCGCUAUGAUUUGAACUAUGUUCCUCUGGCAAUAGCAAAAAUUAUUAUGACAAUAUUAAUUCCUUUGUAUAUAAAUUGAUAAUAGGCACGUAAUCUUCUUUCUUUUUUCUUUUCUUUUUUUUUUUUGGUAUAGGAGGCAUAAUCAAUUUGAGUUAAUAUUGUCCAAUUCAACAUGUGGAAAUUAAAGAAAAAUUUAAACAUUUCCACGAAGAAUAUGAAAGGAUCGAGAAGCCAUAUACUUCCAACAAUUCUGGUUGAAAUUAAAGAAUAUUCUAGUUAUAUAUAUACAUCUGGUGAGAAGAUUCUCCAUGCAUGCAUGUCCAUAUAUAUGUAGCAUGUAAAGGAAUAUUGUACCAGAGAGUUCCUGAUAAUUAGGUGGUUUUGAUAUUAUUGCUAAAAAUGCAAGAAAAUAAUUAAAAACCCAUUUUUCAUGCAUUGCGCAAUCAACAUUUAAAGAAAAGUUUAAACAUUUCCACGAAGAAUAUGAAAGGAUCGAGAAGCUAUAUAUUUCCAACAAUUCUGGUUGAAAUUAAAGAAUCUAGUUAUAUAUAUACAUUUGGUGAGAAUAUUCUCCAUGUAUAUAUGUCCGUAUAUAUGUAGCAUGUAAAGGAAUAUUGUACCAGAGAGUUCCUGAUAAUUAGGUGGUUUUGAUAUUAUUGCUAAAACAUGCAAGAAAAUAAUUAAAAACCCAUUUUUCAUGCAUUGCGCAUGUUCUGUUGAAAAUUGUAGAUCAGUAAUAUUCUUAGCCAUGUUUGUCUCCUAGGAGAUGAAUUUCUAAUACUUAUGAUUUUUUUAAUAAAUUAUAUAAUUUAAAUUAUUAUAAAUUAUAUUCGACUGCUUAUAUUUCCUAUUUAAGAACAUACAUAAUUAUGGAUCAAAAUAUAUAUACUUAGGCUUCGUUUGGGAUUACGGAGAGAUUGCGUUACGUGCGGUGAGAAAAUACGUACGAUGGAAAAAUACCCAAUUUGUUUCCUACGUAAUAUUGUGUUCCACAUAUUGCAAUGAGUCAGUUAUAAUAUAUUUUCUGCGGUUCCAUCAGAGAACGCAGAAGCAUAUCUCUAUAUGCUUUUUUUCUAACUCCUUUUUAUCUAAUAGCGUCAAAUAGCCCUCAAUACCAAACUAAGCCUUAAUAUAUUGUAAUUCUCCAUUUCACACGAGUGAAAUUAAACUAUUGAGAGACGAAAUUAAGAAAUAUUGCUCGUAGACUAAAUUAAGAAAUAUAUAAACUUCAUAUGCUCUACCUAGGUUUGUGGAAUAUUCACUUAUUAUCCUUUAAUUUUAACUUUGUCACCGAUUUAACGAAUAAAUUAAUAAAAUGGAUAAUAAAAAGAGAAAAAUAAAACCAUAGGGUACUAACUUGAUACACUUUAAAUCACAAUGUACUAAAGUGAGAAAGUGCGAAACCACAGGGGUUAACUUGAUACACUUUAAACCACAAGGUUCUAAAGUGAGAAAGUGUGAAACCAAAAGAGGAGUAUUUGAAGUUUACCCUAAGUAUAUCGCAUAGUAGUUAUUAUCCAGAUAACAUUCGACAAGUUUACAAGUUCGAAUCUUCGUGUGUGCAUUCUAGCUACCAAAGAAGAAUGUGACCUGGUUUCUACAGAAAGCUUCAAUAAGUGUAUAUAUAUAUAUAUAAGUUGGCUCAGGUUUCACAAAAGUGUUAAGCCACCUAACUUACAUGGUUCCACGAUUUGAGGCGCUCACGGAGCGCAAUAGUCACUGCGUAGUAGCCGAUUUUUUAUCCGCCCCGAUCGAUCGUGCAUAUUUAUAGGUAAACGUCUCACGUAAAGCGCUAUCUACUUGAGCAUAGAUAAAGGUGAUCAUCUCAGUUGCUGCUAAACGGCUUUCAAACAUGCUGCUAUUAGAAUCAUGAUGAAUUCAGUUUUUUUCUUUAGUUCGUGUGAGAUAGAACUAGCGAUUUUCAAACAUGCUGCUAUUAGAAUCAUGAUGAAUUCAGUUUUUUUUUUCUUUUUUCUUUUUUUUGAUGUUUUCUAUGUAGGUACAAUAAUAUUUCUGAUAUAUGCAUUUUGAAAGAGCAAAAUAUCAUACAGUCAAAAAAAAAAAAGAAAAAAAGAAGAAUGAACAAAAUAACCAAUCUCAACAAAGUUGGCUAGAUAUGCCUGCAACUCAUGGUUGUCCUGUUGAGUAUGAACAAGACCAAAUCUAUUUGAUCUCUUAAAUGAAUUCAUGUGAUUAAUGCGUCGAACUCAUACGAAACUUUGUGCUUUUGUAAUUUUAUGAUUUUUUUUUUUUCUGUGAUUAGCUCUUUAAUUGGUUUUGUACAUUCUCAUAUAUGCUUGUGAUGGUUGCUUGCAUGUGGAAAUCGCAACAAAUUGUUGGAAAUGAUUGCUUGGAAUUAAUAUUUAAGUUCCCUGCCACUGCAUUCUUAAUGUAAGCGUGAAUAUUCAUGCGAUCGAUUCAUUUAAUUGUUUGAAUAUGGUUCCGAUUUUUUACUUGCAUGCAUGCGAGUCUCUUUUGACUUGUUUAAUUGAAGAGACCUACAGAUGUGAGAAGCUCUAUUUUAUAAAUUGGGAUGAGUUUAAUCCAGCUUUUGAAUGUCUAUUAGGAAAUGUUAAUAGACAUUCAAAAGCUUACGUUUGUAAACAACCGUUAUACUUUAAAAUUAAGCUUACGUUUGUAAAGAAUGGUAUUUAAAUAUUUUUAUAUUUAAUACUCUCAUUUAUGUCUGGGCUCAAGACUUUUCAUUUGGCCCAUGACGAGAAAUUGGAUUAAAUGAGAGGGAAUUAAUAAUAUUAAAAACCUGACAUGACUCUAACUCAGGACCUCAUAUUCUUAUAUACCAUAUUAAAUAAUACGAAACAACCGUUAUACUCUAAAAUUUUAAGCAUGUAGAGAAUAAUAUUUAAAUAUUUUUAUAUUUAACGGGAAAUGUAAAUCUAUGAGAUGUUUUCUUGAUCUGCAACUGUGGACAAACAUAAAUAUUUAUAUCCGGACUAGAUGUGCCGGCUACUGAAGGAAUGUGUACCAUGCUUUCAUUCUCCUUUUACAGGUAUUCUCCUAUCUGUGAAUUGAAUUGAUGCCAUAGCAAUUGCAGCAUGAGCAUUUUUCACAGCAUACGAUGCAUUUAUAGCUGUUUCUAUCUAAGAGGUUUGUAUUUUUGCAGUGUGUUGGCUAUUCUUUUUUUAAAAAAAAUGUAUUAUUUUCUUUUUGAGAAAAAUGUAGCAUACUGUCAUGUGGUAGGAGACUAGGUUAAACAGAGUCAUGUUUGAAAUAGUGAGAGAUCAGCCUUGUGGCGGGAUGCUCGACUGAGUCGAGUCACGUUCGAAAUGGUGGAAGGUCAGGUUGGGUCGAGUUAUGUUUGCAGUGGCGUGAGGCUAGUUGGGCUGAAUCAUAAUUGAGAUUCGUGGAUGUUGUAUUAUUUGUACGCUUUAAGUGAAUUAAUUGUGUAUUUCUAAAAGCUCGAAUUUUUUAGAUUAUUGAUUAAUGCCAACAAUCCAACAACAAUACUAGAAGCGAUAAUUCGCGUGUUUACCAAAGUUACAAAAUUUAGAACUCUGCAUAUAAAAAAAAAAGCAAAAAUAUUGAGAUUUUGAAGAUCUCGAUGCAAAAGUUUCUAUUUAGGAGCUUCUAUUUUUACUGCAAAAAGAAAAAAAAAGUGUAGAAUAGAGCUCCUACUCGCGCUUAUCGCUACUAAAAAGUCGUUUUAUCGACCGGUACUAUAUUUUUAGUAAGGCCAAACGAGCUUGAAUCGGUAGAUAACAACUUAUAACAAAUAGAAGCCUAUUUGCUCGAUCACUAAAAGAUUUUACAUAUCAAAGUAUUAUUUGAGCAGAGCUGCUCGAAAUGGCAUUAACUGCUUUCUUAUUAAUAAUCUCUCCAAUAACUUCCACCUACAACAAAAAUACAAAUUUUUACUUUAUUUCACUAUUUUUGACUGGGCAAAAGAUUCACACCUUUUAGCCGCCAAAUAUUCAGCUACUGCUUUUGGGAUAGAAAGGCUAGUUCAAAACUUAGUCAAAUAUCUCCCCCUCUCUCUCUCUCCAAAUGGAGAAGACUAAUCUCUCGUUGCUGUUAUCAAGUUGCUAUUGAUAGUAAUUGCUGAAGAAAUAAAAGCAUCAAAUCGAACAGUGGAGAUUACAUGAACUGUGCACUGAAAAAGAAGCUCUUUGACUUGUUAUACAGUUUACUGGUCCAGAGUAGAUGGAGAGCACUAAUGUAUGAUGGCAACAACCGCUCUUAGUGGCGACACCAAUGAUAAUUCACGUGUUUGCCUCUCUUUUGUUUUGUUUUUUUAAAAAAAAAAAAAAUUCCUUUUUUGAGUACUAUAUACCUCUAAUAUAAGUAUAAAUUAUAUAUACACCCGUAAUUUUCUAUUGUCGAGAUUUACUUACUUGUCUUCUUAAUAUUUUUAAUACUAAAAAUAUCUAAAAAAAUUUAGAUUCAAAAAUUAUGGGGAUAUAUGAUGUACACUUUAUAACAUGAGUAAAAUUAAGUAGCAUUUUUCCUUUUUAAUGCCGAUGUGUUUAUCUGGCUUUAGUUGUUUAACAUCAAAGUCCCUUUUUUUUUGGCUUUAGAUAAGUAUCUGCUACCUUAAGUAUUUAAUAACCUGGCUUUCAAUUUCGAAAGAUUUUUUUUAAAAAAAAAUUUAGUCAGAAUUAAGGCAUAUCGGAUAUAAAAUACUAAACUGUUAGAGAAAAUUGACUAUUUCACAUGAUAUCAUAUUAAAAAAAAUUAUGAGUUCGAAUUCCAUCAGAAUUUAAUUUCAUUUUUGUGAUACUCUAUUAGCGAGAAUUAAUACUCGAGAUAUUUCUAUUUUCAAAUGCUAGAUAAUAUUUAUAAGUUUGAUUAAUCUAUAGUAAGUGGGAAUCUAGCUAGAUUUUUGUAAAUUUGAUGAGACAUUGAGGCCACAGUGACGGUGCCAACCUCAGCAGAUGUACUCAUGAAUGCAGUACCCUUCACAUUUACUUCCUCAACAAGUUCGAUCAUAAGAAGGGCCCCCACUACAUUUAAAUCUUAGCCAUACUCUUUCACAGAUGUUUCCCACAAGUUUUGACUAUUUCUGAACUUGUUUACGGCGUCAAACUACUAAUAGUACGUCUAGUGAUAAAGUAUCUGAGAGGGAUCGGGACACAGCAGUCGAGCUUUCGUAUUACCGUAUAUGCUUAAAUUUAGAGCUAAAUCGAGCUGAGAGAUCACAUGAGUUUAGUAUAUGCUACAUCUACUGUAGCUUAUGAACUCAUUUACUAAUUUAGCAAAUAUAAGAGCAAUAAUUAUAUCAAUCCUUUAGUUAUUAUUUAUGUUUGAGUAUUUUUACAUACAAUUUUCUAAUAAUAACGGUGUCAAGCUUCUCUAAAUAGCAAGUUCAAAGUUAAUAAACAUGCCUUAUAUAUAUAUCCCCGCAACAUUGCACAUGUUCAUUUCAAAUUAACAAACAUAUAUACCCUACAUAUAUGUGACUAAUAUUAUAUGUACAUAAAUAAUCAAAUAUGUAUGAUAGAAAAUAAUUCGGAAUCAAUCUUAACAUUUUUGCUCUCGUGGAGUCAAAAUCAAACUUGUAACCUCCUGAAAUAGAACGAUCGAUCCUGGAUUAAUUAGUCUAAACAAGUCUUAAUUAAUAGUUAUGUAUCCACACCCAACAAAAUUAAAUGAUAGGACCAAAGUUUGGUUGGCGAGUUACAAAUUUAAUUAUCAUCAUUAAAUCAAACAACAAGUAGCUAGGAAAAACACCCACUUGGCCUUUCCAACCCACAAAAGUACAAAACUAAAUAAGUAUAUAUGGAAAUUACACAGGUAGAGAAAUGAUUUUUACAACACUGCACUACAAACCCCAACACAAUCGCCAUCAUUCUAAUAUUGCUAAUGAUGCCACAUCAUUCCUCACAUUAAUCCCCACACUCCCCUAACUACACUUUACAAAAGGAGACAUGAUAUAUAGAGUACUCCACCUCCUCAUUCCUCUUCCCUUGUAGCCAAAGUCUCCUUCAAUUAUAACCAUCUCACACAUAUAUAGUACAUGCAUGCACCACAUAGUUCUCUCUACUAGUAGUUCUAGUUAAGCUACAAACAAUGAGCUCGGCGUGUAAAUCCGCAGAGGCGCGGCCGCCCGUGCGCGCGACGUACGUCAACCUCUACAAGUGGCCUGAGUCCGACGCCGAGUUCGUGAAAUCGAUCGCGGGGAAACGAAGCAGCAGCGGUAGCGGUUACGGGAAUAACUAUCAUGUCAACAAUUACGUCGAUUGUAGGAGGAGAAAAUUUGGACCGAGCACGAACGUUGUUGUGGAUAGCUACUCUUGUAGACAAAUGUAUCUGAGGAGCUACAAAUUCUCUAAGAAGGAGUCCGUACCGGAGAAAACUAUGCGGUGCAUCGCACAGGUGAAAGAGAAGGCCAUGGUUUUGCCGUUUCUCUCGCCCAGGAACGAGAAAGGUGGUGCGGCUGUUAGGGACGAAAGUGCAAAUAGUAAAAGAAAGAGGAGCGAGAUGAAAAAGAAGAUAAGCAAGAAAGGGUGUUCCGCGAAUUUGAGGAAGUUGGGAGUGGCGUCGUGCAAAGUUGCUCGUUCGAUCCUGUUUCGACUCCUCACGUGCGCGGCGAGCGUCGACGUGGCAGAUCCGACCCGGGUUUAGUUAGUGAGGAUUUUAUCAACUUAUUAUUAUUAGUUAUUUUUGCUUUUUUUUUUCUUUUUUUCUUUUGCUAAGUGUGUGUGUGUGUGUGUGUGUGUGUGUGUGUGUGUGUAUAUAUACAUAUUUAAGAAAUAAAGUUUUUGAUUGGAGUUUGAAACAAAAAAAAAAAAAAAAACCUGAUUGACCCCUUAACUAUUUUAGUUGUUAAUAGAACGAAUCACACUUUUACCACUAAACAAUAUAUAUAUGUAUAUGUAUGUAUAUAUAUAUAUGUAUAUAUAUAUAUAUAUAUAUAGUCCGUCUCCCGUACUUUUGAAAGUACAGGAGGUCCCGUACUUGUAAGUUGUUUUCGAUGAUAGGACGUUCAAUUUGACGAUCGGCUCCGUUAGGUAUGAUCUACCCUAUUGGAACUAUCUAGAAACCAAAUUUUAGAUUUUUUUGACAUCAUUUACUAAGCGAUCAAAAGGUCUAAAAAAUGACUAUUUUAACGGUCGAUGUGGUACAUUUUUAAGUUCAACGGUGUAGAAGUAUCCAAAUUACAUGAAAAUUUAAUAGAAAAUUCUACUUAACAUCAGUAGCAAGAUCAAUACUUCCGAUUUAAAAUUUGAAUCCUUUAUCACUGUUUUUUAUGAGAUUUUUAUUUUCAGCCGUUCAUUUUGAGGCUACUCGUUUACUAGAUAAACGAAAUCAAAAAAUUAUGAAAAUUGGUUUCUAGAUAGUUCCAAUAGCGUAGAUCAAGUUUAACAGAACCGAUCGCCGAAUCGGAUGUCCGAUCAUCGAAAACAACUUACAAGUACGGGACCACCCGUACUUUCAAAUGCAUAGGAGCCUAGCUCUCUCUCUCUCUCUCUCUCUCUCUCUCUCUCUCUCUAUAUAUAUAUAUAUAUAUAUAUUUUAAAUAUGUAUUUUUAUUUUUGUAACUGGUGUUGUUGAUUUCCCUUGUGUUUGUUCCCGGGAUAUCCGCUUCGUUUAUUUCAUUUAAAAAUAAACAUUGCUAAAAAUGUGAAUUAAGUAAGAUUCAAACUUGGGUCGCUGGUACCAACCACCAAGCCGUAUUCCCAGUAGCUUUGUUGUAUGAGUUAUUAAUGUAAUAAAGCAAAUCAUCGUAAAUACGUACGUACCACUCAAUAAUUCUGUACUUGGGUUGAUGUAAUACGUGAAAUAUUUAUUCCAUCCGUUUAGUUUAUUGUCAGCUGCAUCAGUAAAAUAAUAAUAAUAAUAAUAAAAAGUGGAUUAGGAAGUAAGUUUAUUUACAUUUGUGGAUUGUUUACAGUUUCUUUAUUUAAUCAUCAAAUAAACCAAUAUUUAAUUACUUUUCUGUUUUUUUUUCUGGGAUUGGUUGUCUAAAUUUAUGCUUUAUAUAUAUUAUUGAUUUUACCAUAAACCGCAACAAAGAAUCACUUUUUAAAUUGUGCACCAUGUUAAGGUAUAGGCUCAAAGCACGAAUCAUAUUAGGCUAAACCCGAGAGACGUGAUGAUAAUUGUGGCUGGGCCGAUCUGAACUGAAUUAAGUUGAGCUCAUGGGCCUUGAGAGAACGUUAAGCCCGUUAUUUAUUAUUUCAGAGUCUUUUUUUCCCUCGUAUCUAAGGGAGCAAAUGGAUCUGGAUAGGUGGAGCUCUCAUCCCGUAUAAGGUGGUAAUAGGGAUGUCAAUGUGUACGGAUAUUCAAAAUUUUAUCUGAACCUGAAUCCCAAUGGUGCAAAUUUAUGCGACGCUAAACAGAUAUGGUUUUGAAUAUGGAUAUCAAAAACAAAACCCGAUGGGCAUGAAUUUUGAUUGUACCUAACCCCACCGAACUUGAAUCCUACCCAAAUCCGAAUUUAUUUUACAUUAUAUAUAUUAUAUGUAUAUAAAAUUUGAUGUUACAUUUGAAUUUGUAUUUUAAAAAUCUAGUUUUAGUGUAAUAUGUUUUAAAAUAUUCAAAAGAGAAAUAAUUGUUUCGGGUUCGGAUUCCAGAUUUUUGGUUGGGUUUGAGUUCAGGUUUGGAUAUGAAUUUUUAAAAUCCGUCAGAUUCAUGUUCAGGUUCAGAUUUCGGGUUUAGAGUCGGAGUCAGAGUCGGGUUCGGAUUUUUCAAAAUCCACCCCAAAUCCGGCCCAUUAACAUCCAUAGGUGGUAAGUAGAAACCAAAAAUAUAUAUAUAAAAAAAUCAGUUAUGAAUCUGUCCUGAACUGCCAAGAAAAUAGAGCAGGAGACUAGUGAUACUUUUCUUUUCUUUUUUUGAUCCACUCUAAUUUAUCGAAAAUCCGCCAAAAAUCCAAAAAUGUCUUGAUUCGCGACAAUUAGAGCAAAAAAUAAGAUAAAAAUUAAUCUGUCCCAUAAUCCCAUUUGCACACAUACUCAUAUCAGCAUAUCGGGCCGAACAAGUGUUGUACUUCAUACAAUUUAAGGGGCCCAAUUUUAGCCCACAGGCUAAAGCCUUUUCGGAUCGAUCAUCGGAUCUCGCCAUCUAAGGAACUCGUGUAAUUCGUAAGUUUGCAUUGUUCGCUUAAAUGAGUCAAUAUCCUAUCUAGCCACGAAAGAUUAGAUUGAAUCAAGUCACAUUCAAAAAAGUAGCGAGAGGCUAUGUAGAGCCGAGUCACAUUCGAAGCACGAAUGUGUUGUAUUGUAUGUCUGUAUAUUUUAAGCAUAGUAAUUGUAUUUUUAUAAUAACUUAAGAUUUUAGAAUUAAUAAUUAACGCCAAUAUUUAUACAAGUCAUAUUGGAACAUAGGAGAAUAAACUUAUAUAAUAUGUUGGAAAAUUAUGGAAUAAAAAUUUAUUCCAGCGAGAAUCAGAAUAAAGAAGCAUAGGGACGCGAAGAAAAAUUUUAAGGUGGGAUCAACGACAAGGAUAAAGAGGAAGAGGACAACAAGCACUGGGAUCAACAAAUUAUAUUUUUGAGGUGCGAUUCGGUUGGUUUUGUUCGUAUAUUCCAUUUGUUUGCUACGCUUAAUUUGUCACGCACACUGCUACUCUGAACAAAAGAGUUAUUAUUUUCUAUUUUAAAAGUAAAAUAAUAAUUAUUUAAAAUUUAAAGAUUAAUGAUAAAAAAUAAUUAUUAUUCUACAGUUAAGGCGUGUUUGGUUCGCUUCUAUUUCACCCUGGAAUCGAAAUCGGAAUGGGUGAAUCCGUUUGUGGGUGUUUGGUAUGCGGGAGUCUCAUUCCAAUUUCGAUUCCCGAGUGGAAUGGGAAUCUUCCGAUCACCUCUUUUUUCAAUCCGGCCUAGAAGGCCGGAUUGGAAGUUGAAUCCGGACGGAAUGGAUAUUUAUUCAGAUUAAAUUUAUCUUUUCAACUUUUUAAAUUAAAAUAUGAGUUAAAAUUUAAAAUUUAAAUAUAUAAUUUUAAAUUUUAAUUUAAACUUAAAUUAAAAAUUAAAAUUUAAUCAAGUAUUUCGAAUUUAACUUAUGAAUUUGAAUUUAAAUUAAAUUUUAAUUUAUAUAAAGUUUUAUUCGAAUUUUAUUUCAAACUUAAAUUAAAUUUAUGGAUUCAAAUUAAAAUUUAAAUUGUAAUUUUAAGUUUGAAUUUGAAUAAAUCAAAAUUUAGUUUCAUAUUUUGAAUUAUCCACUCAACUUAAAAGUUUAAUUUUUUUAAAAAAAAUAGAUUUAAAAUUUUGACAUUAUUUUAAAAUUUUGAUGUAAAUUUUUAAUAUUUAAUUUUUAAUUUGAAUUUAAAUUAAUAUAUUAUAAAGAUAAUGUUAGUAUAUGAAUUUGAUUACAUUUUUUAUAUCUGCCUGAACCAAACACCGAUAAUGGGAAUGAUUUAUUCUUAUUCCGAUUCAGGUGUUGAACCAAACAGAAUUAGAUAAUGAGUCAUUUCGAUUCCGAUUCCGAUUCUGACUCUGACUUCGAACUAAACACGUCCUAUAUGGCUAUAUAUACUCCAUGCACCAAUAAUUCAUUUUCUCUCAUCAAUCUCAUGUCACAUCUAUCAAUUUUUUUUUCCUUUAUAAUAAAACUAUAGGCUUGAUCUUUUAAUUUUAAACAUAAAAUAAAAUACGAGAUUAAAAAAAAAAAAAAGGAAAUGCAUAGGAACCUUCUCGUGGAUUAAUCAAUGAAGCAUUAAAUAAUAUACCACUUGGCCUUGCAUAAAAUAAUUAAAUAAGUUACUUUAGAAUUAUUAACUUUUUUUUUUUUAGCCUAUACACAAUAGUGUCAACACCUAGUGCGUGUUGUUUUUCUAAAAAGCAAACAUAUGGGCAGCAUAUAUUGAGCCCCACAACAUAUUUUUUUAAUCCAAGUAUUUAAUUAAUAAAAAAAUUUUGUUGGUGGAUAGCUUAAUAAUAGAGGUACAUAGCAAUAAUUAAUGGGGAAAAUGUGCAAAAUAUAUAAUAAUAUUAUUAUCUUACUAAAACAAAUAAUGUUAGUGAACAUGGUGACGUAGUUUAGAGGAUGCUAAUUAAUUAAACGAAAAUUAGAUCUAUCUUGCAUGCUACGUGUUCAAAAUUUAAUUAAUUAACCAUUAAUUAUUUCUUUUCUAGCCUAAUCGAUCUUGUGAUGAUUUUAUGAAGCUCCAGAGAAGUUGCUUAUGAUGACGUUGUCUAGGUAGUAGAAUCAUUAAUUAGUAAAAUAAUACCGCAUAUUUAAUUAAGAGCUUAAUCAUCAUUAUUAUUACCCUUCACAUGACAUAAAUUAAAUUACUCAUAAACUGCUAUAAUAUUAAGCACCGAAUUAAUUUAAUAAAAGAUCGAUCCAUACUUACGUCUCAUCUGGGGCCACUAUAAGAAUAUGCCCGUAACAUUAAAAUUUUGUCAAUAAAAGAUAAUAGUCAUUUAGAGCUCAUGGCUAUUAUUUAUCUAAUUAGUAUUUUUUUUAUUUUCUUUUAAAUAUGUAUUUGGAUUAAAAUGACGCAACGUGCAUAAAUUUGCAAAUUACAUCACAUCUAAAACUUAAUGCAGAUAUAUGCGUUAACUUCGUUGUGCCCGUGAGGAGAAAUUGCUUCUAAAACAUUCGUACUCAUUCUCGAAAUAGAAUUAGCUUUUGAAAUUUCAUGUCUCUUUUACUUGUUACUUAAUUAACCUCCAUGAUUAAGUUAAACUAUACUUUAAGAAUGGUAGAGUCAUUACUUCUUAUUCAAAUUAAGGUAGGGACAAAAACUUUUUGAAAUGUAGGAUUUGGUUACGUGCAUUUUAUCAAAAGCCAAAAAAAAGUCCUCUCUAGUACAAUUCCGUACAAAAUAAUUUUACAUAUCUUUUAUUUUUCGACUUAGUCUCACGAUUAGCAUUUGUUUAUCGAAAGUAAUGUGGACAUCUAACCUAAAUCCCUAUGAAAAUAAUUAAUAUAUUGUACGAAUAAUGUUACUUAUUUGGAUGGUUCAUAAGCUCAAUGGAAAGAAUAAAAGAAGCUCAUGGUCAGGGGGUAAAACUUCUUAAACACAAAAGCAUCUUCUAAUAAAAAUUACUUAGCACGAGACAUCUAUCAAUGGUACUUUAAAUCUAAACAAUGCUCGAUAACUAUCAAGUAUGAGCGCAAAUACAAACAAUCUUAUAUUUUGUCGUCUUUGUCAACAAACCAUAUAUUAGCAAUCUCUCGAUAUGGUAGAUGCUUUUGCAUAUGUAAAUACUAAAAUUGCUGAUUAUUAUUCUUUUAAUAAUACAUUAAAAUUAAAUUUGGGCAUUAGAGAUUUCAUUGUUGGAUCUUUAAUUUUUUAUUUAAUAAUAAAUCAAUUUUCAAUUUGAAUGCACGUAACAUAUGAGUGGUGAUCCUAAUGAUCCGUUCCUUGGUUUGACUUCUCACAGACGAACCACACAAAAAAUGAUUGAGCGAGCAUACGGCGCGAACACCACCACCGCACCUCUGUUUUUUUUUUAGAAAAAGAUGGUACGCUACCCGCUUUAUUUAUUAGACAGAUGAACUAAACUAUAAGAGUGGGGCAACUCGGACCCCUGAAAAGAAAAAAAUAAACAAAAACACACACCACCGCACCUCUGUUGAUUUGACUCGUGCCCAGGUUCACGUACGCGUAGGUCUCCUCUCGUACGUACACAUGCGGUGUGCACCCGAGGCUUAUAUGGCACACGUGUGAACCCCAGAAUUAUUUUUUUAUUUUUUUAUUUUGGACUCUGAACAAAAUUUAAGUACACCGGUACAAACAUAAAGUCCCAUUCUGGGCACCCAAGAUUCUUGUGACCUCAACCUGUUUUUUAUUUUUUAUUUUUUUAUUUUUUUUAUUUUUUGUAGUAGGUUGGGGUGUUGUGGGGCCCGCCUAAAGAUCGAAUGUUAACACGCCACGUAACAAACCUCAAACUUAACUACGCCAGUGACGUCAUCUUCUCUGGUGUGAUUACUACCUGCACCUGGUGUAGUGGAAUUUCCAUGCACCGAACUCCUUAUUUUUUAAAAAAAACUACAAAUAUUUCAAAAUUUAGAUGAUAGGUGUGACCCAAACUAUUUGAACUCUUCAUGGAUGUAAAAUCAUAAAUUUUAAAAGAUCUAUUACCAAGCCAUAAUAUAGUCCAACAGUAGAGAAGAGACUGUUUGUUUAAUUUACAAUAAAAAGUUAGUAUUCAAAGAUUUUAUUUUGUACCAACUUGUCUAGUCAAAGUUACAAUAAUGCGGGUGUAUAAUUCUAGUGUGUAUAUAUAUAUAUAUAGAGUUGAUCUAGGAUACUUUUACAAGUAUCAUCCCCAUGUUGCUAUCACGUUUUUAGCCAUUGGAUCUACUUUUUGAUUACAAAUAGUCCUUGGAUCAAACACUAUUCCACCUACCACCACCUACCACCACCUACCCCUAUCAUCUCAACCUCAUAUCUCUCCAUCCAAGAGCUAAAAACACACGAGUAUCACUUGGGUGAUACUUGUAAAAGUAUUCUAGCCCUACUCUAUAUAUAUAUAUAUAUAUAUAUUUCAAUAUAUGAUUAAUGAGGCGUAAUAGUAUCAUGAUUGAUUUUUUUCAAUAUAAAAUUUAUAUUUAAUUAAUUUUAUAUCUUAUCUAUAAUAACGAUUACUGGAUGGAAAGUUAAAAUAUCUUCAAAAACUGUAGCGUUUGGAUUGGGGAUAAGGGGUGGAAUAACCCUUAUCCCCUUUUAUAUCCAAUCGCUAAUUUUUUAUCUAAAAAUAAUAGUUCUCGAUUAUCUAUAAUAAUCGGGUAUAACUAUUCCUACCAAUACCUCUAUUUUUUAUAUAUAACUAUUUACUAUUUUUUUUUAUUUCAUAUUAUCUAUUUAAACGCUAUUUUUUUUAUUUUCAUACUUGUAAUUAUUCCUAUAAUAGUUAAUUCUUGCUUAUAUCCGAGCCAAACGGUUAGAAAAUUAGUGAUGUAGUGUAUGAUAUGUACUUAUGCACCAUUUGCAGGGUAUACUUACUUCGCACGGCCUUAAUUUACUCGAGCCCAAAACCAUGUCGACGAAAAACUCGACAAUUUCUAAAAAGUUAAAUGCGUAAGAUUAAGAACGUACACGUACUUGAUGUGAUGUUGAGCCAAUAGAAAUAAGAUUAUUCGUAAUAUUCCUCAAAUCUCUCGUCGACGUAGCAUAUUUCUAAAAGUCAAAGGACGCGAUGGAUCCACGAAGCUUCGUGGUAACAAUUUACAGAGACCCCUUCGACUGUAAAUCCAAUCCAAAACUGCCCCUAAAAUUUAUUUUUAUUAUUGAUUACUGAUAGCACUUUCUUAAAAUUAAAAGCUUUAAAUCAUAUAAUUUGAAGAUUAUAUCAAAUUUAAUGUUUUCAUUAAUUUUUUAUGGAUUCUAAAUUAAUUAAGAUUUAAAAAAAAAUUAGCUGAACUAAUGAAAAUAACUAAUAUUAAAAGAAAUUAAAGAGUUAAAAAGGGUGAGAGGGACUAAUUUCAAAAAUUGCUAUUGUUGAAGGGGUCGUCUUUAAUUUUUACCAAGUUUAAGCGAACGAUCUCUUAACCCUAGUGAAGGUUUUAUUUACUUAUAUAUAUAUAUAUAUCUUUAUUUACCUAAAAGCCACGAUGUGUGAUUCGCGUCAAAAUUUUAUGCGUACCCGAGAAGGUUCCUGUGUUUCCAUUUUGUAGGAGGUUUCGUCCCCUCGCCGCUCCUCUCCUCUCUUUGGGUGGUUAGUGGUGUACUAGUAGUACGAACAAGAAUAGGGCGAAGAGAAGAGAGAGUCGUCGACGCAAUCCACCACGGUCUCCAUACGGUACCCAAACCCUUACCUCCCUUUUCGCUCUCGAUUUGUGUGGAUUUGAUUUCGUUUUGGCUCAUCCCUGCUCUGAAUCUGUUCGUGGAUCGUGUAGAAUCUUCGAUUUCUUGGAUUGAGCGCUAGGGUUUGGGGAUUUGGGGGGGCGAUCGGGGGUUUUGAUGCUUUUUGGGUGGCGGAGUUUGUAGAUCUGGGGUGGUUUUUGGGCGGAGAUUCGUUGAUUUGUGUGGUGGAUUGAGUGGGAUUUGGGGGGAUGGGGAAAGGGGGGCAGGAUGAAGGGAGGAGAGGCGGCGGCGGCGGAGGCGGAGAGGAGGCGGCGCCGCCGACGUUCCCGGCGUGGGCGAGGAGCGUGGCGGAGUGCGAGGCGGAGUUCAAGGUGAGGGCCGAGCACGGCCUCCGAUCCGACGAGGUCGUCGCCCGCCGCGAGAAGUAUGGGUGGAACGAGCUCGAGAAACACGCGGGGCCGUCGAUCUGGCAACUGGUGCUGGAGCAGUUCAACGACACCCUCGUGCGGAUCCUCCUCGUCGCCGCCGUCGUCUCCUUCGUCCUCGCUUGGAUCGACGGGAACGAGGGCGGCGAGAUGGGGAUCACGGCAUUCGUGGAGCCCUUGGUGAUCUUCUUGAUCCUCAUCGUGAACGCCGUCGUCGGGGUUUGGCAAGAGAACAAUGCCGAGAAAGCUCUGGAAGCCUUGAAGGAGAUCCAAUCUGAGCAUGCUAGAGUAAAGAGGGACGGAGAGUGGAUCCACGAUUUGCCCGCAAAGGAGCUUGUUCCGGGGGAUAUCGUGGAGCUUAGGGUUGGUGAUAAGGUCCCCGCUGAUAUGCGGGUCUUGUAUUUGAUAAGCUCGACUCUAAGGGUGGAACAGGGGUCUCUAACCGGAGAAAAUGCCUCCGUGAAUAAGACCAGUCACAAGGUUGAAUCAGAGGAUACAGAUAUUCAGGGGAAAGAGUGCAUGGUUUUUGCCGGUACGACCGUCGUCAAUGGCAGCUGCGUGUGCUUGGUUACCCAAACUGGCAUGAACACUGAAAUUGGUAAAAUACAUUCUCAGAUCCAUGAAGCUUCCCAGGAAGAUGACGAUACUCCGCUGAAGAAGAAGUUGAACCAGUUUGGCGAGGCCCUCACUGCUAUAAUUGGUGUUAUUUGUGCCCUUGUUUGGUUAAUCAAUGUGAAAUACUUCUUUACUUGGGAGUAUGUUGAUGGCUGGCCGAGGAAUUUUAAGUUCUCUUUUGAGAAGUGCACGUAUUACUUUGAGAUUGCAGUGGCUUUGGCUGUUGCGGCGAUCCCUGAGGGCUUGCCAGCAGUCAUCACUACUUGCUUGGCACUUGGAACAAGGAAGAUGGCACAGAAGAAUGCAUUGGUGCGGAAAUUGCCGAGUGUUGAGACUCUAGGAUGCACAACUGUCAUUUGUUCUGAUAAGACUGGAACAUUAACCACGAAUCAGAUGUCGGCGGUUAGGCUUGUUGCAAUGGGUAGGUGGACAGAUACAAUUAGGAGCUUUAAAGUGGAUGGAACCACAUAUGAUCCACAUGAUGGGAAGAUCCAUGAUUGGCCCGGUAGCAAUAUGGAUGCAAAUCUUCAAAUGAUCGCCAAGAUUGCUGCCGUCUGCAAUGAUGCGAGCGUCGCGCAUUCGGGACACCAGUUUGUUGCCAGUGGAAUGCCGACGGAGGCAGCAUUGAAGGUCAGGAUUUGCCUUUUAUGGCUUCCCUUCUUGCUCUGUUACUUUUUAUGUUUUUGAAAUCAUUGCUUCGAAUAAAAGAAAAGAAAAAACAAAAACAAAAACUAUUAACCUAUCUUGUAAGAGAUUAAGUUCUGGCAUCUGAAAUUCUGUUGUUAAAAUUUUGACUGGGUAAGAAUUACGCAUCCGUCUUAUUGACUAACUCUCUUUUUGCAAGUGCUUUAAAUGUUCAAGAAGUGCUAGUUAUGAGUAAAUUUGGCCACUUAAAUGCUUUUCAUGAUCAACUUUUUUUCUCGUUCAGCUUCAUAUACAGAUUUAUGAAAGUGUUUGAAUGGUUUGUCUUAUUAACUUGUUUACUGAUUGUUUUUGAUAUAAUAUCUCGUAUGUAGUUGGGCGCUUGAACUUGAAAAUAGUUCAUCUAACCUUUUGGUUAACUGUUAUAGAUUUGCUAUUUCCUUUCAGGUUCUGGUGGAGAAGAUGGGACUCCCUGGGGGACAUACUCCACCUUCUGGUUCUUCUGAAAUACUGCGUAUGUUAAUGCCCACAGACUUUCUUAUUUUAAUUUAGCUAUAUGAUACUGGUUUGAAAAUCCCUGAGAACCUAUUUUGAAUUUCCUACCUCUUGUACUUGAAGGAUGUUGCGAAUGGUGGAAUUAUAAUGCACAAAGGGUCGCAACUCUUGAGUUUGAUCGAACUCGUAAAUCAAUGGGGGUUAUUGUGAAAUCAAAAUCAGGAAGCAAUUCACUACUUGUCAAGGUACACUUUAUUCCCUCUGCAGUAUAAUGAACGGUCUCCGCCACUUUCUUUUACUUUAUUUUUCUUGUGUCCAGUAGUUGCACUUGGGAUGAGGACCUUUUUCUAAUUAGGUUCUGAUUAAGGUUUAAGAAUACAUUGGUCGCAUAAUCUUUUUCAGAAGAUAGCACAAGUCGUGUUAGUCUCAUGUAUGUGAGCAUACAUGAGUUACUGAAAAAAAUAUGUGGAAUGAUCGAAAUAAUGGCUGAGGUGCUUAUCAUUCAUCAUAUUUUGGGGCAUCCUAUUCGUAGAUGAUAUCUGAAAUUCUUGUUAUACCUCCCAUGAUCAGUGUAUUUAGGUUUCUGCAAUUCACAUUUUGAGUGUACUCUUGGUAUAAAAAUCUCAAAUUUUUUUUGUUGGAUGUAACACAUCAUGCUACAAUAGAAUCUGCACAUCAUGCUGCAGUUCAGAUGUGAGACAGUAUCCUUCACAAAUCUUGACAGCUCUUUCAUAUCGAGUUAGAAAAUUGAACAUCUUCUAUUCUAGCAAAACCUUCUUUUGAAACCACUUGUCUCCAUAAAAGCUCAUCGCAGACUCUUUUGUUUCUUCCUUUAUUCUCAAAGAGGAAUAGGAGAACUAACCGAUGUAGGUUUGCUCAUGCUCCUUUGAUCCCGUAAGCACUAUUUUGUCUUGUUUCUUUCCUAGCAUUUCUAUUUGCUAUUUUUGACUUACUUUUAUCCUCUACUUUUUCCACUUUCUUACUUAAAACAGACCUGAAAGGCACUUCCACGGCGUUUCUAAAUUUUGUACUUCUCAAAGUUACUUGAAAGCAUGACAUUUUGAUAUAAAUUUUCUUAAGAGCUUAUUGUCGAAGCUGCAUUGUGGCAGGGGGCAGUGGAAAAUUUAUUAGAAAGGAGUGCCUACAUUCAGCUGCUUGACGGCUCAGUUGUAUUGUUGGAGGAAAGUUCCAAGGCUCUUAUUUUAGAUACCCUUCGUGAAAUGUCUACUAAUGCUUUACGUUGUUUGGGUUUCGCAUACAAGGAUGAUCUAGCAGACUUCGCGACCUAUGAUGGUGAAGACCAUCCUGCUCACAGGCUUUUGCUUGAUCCAUCUAACUAUUCAUCUAUCGAGAGUGAUCUCAUUUUUGUUGGCUUAGUUGGGCUGAGGGUGAGAAAUAACUCUGCUACAUACUUUAUUCAUUAUCCUUUUUCCAUGCAAUAUAUCGCAUUUUAAUUUUUCUCUGGAAUUCUGACCAUGAUAGGAUCCUCCUCGAGAGGAGGUGUACAAGGCCAUUGAAGAUUGUAGAGCUGCCGGCAUUCGUGUGAUGGUAAUAACAGGCGAUAAUAAAGAAACUGCAGAGGCAAUAUGCCGUGAUAUUGGAGUGUUUAAGCCUGAUGAAGACAUUAGUUUGAAGAGCCUUACCGGCAAGGAAUUCAUGUCACUAUCUGAUAAAAAGAAUCUCUUGAGGCAAAAAGGUGGUCUUCUCUUCUCUAGAGCUGAACCAAAGCACAAGCAAGAGAUUGUGAGAUUGUUGAAAGAAGAUGGUGAGGUAGUUGCCAUGACAGGGGAUGGGGUGAAUGAUGCCCCUGCUCUGAAGCUGGCUGAUAUUGGUAUAGCAAUGGGCAUUACUGGGACUGAGGUGUGCUUGUCUUCAUCGGCUCUCUUUGAUUUAUGUUUUAUAUCACUUCGUGCAUAAAACAUUACACUUGUUUAGUAUCACUAUUGACAACCACGAUACAAUUUGGCUCUUUUUUCCCCCCUUCACUUCCCUAUUCUGCUAAGGAAUUUUCUUGGGAAUAAAGAUUUCAUUAGUUGGUUUUUUUUACUGAUCAAUGAACUACUUGCUUGAUGUUUCACGUCCCACUAAUAUGUGCUUCUGUUUUGAUUGCUAAUUUUUUCUUCAUCGCUCCCUGCACCAUCUUUUUGCUGUUAUGCGUGUUGCUGUUGGCGUUUUUUUUUUUUGGUACCAAGGGGAAAAGAGUGCAAGGCUGUCUAUCAUCUAAUAAAGUGAUUUCAACCACAGUAUUUAUUUUUCUUCUUGUUGUACACAUUUUUCAAUUUGAUUUUCUAAUUUAUUUCAGGUUGCGAAGGAAGCUUCAGAUAUGGUGUUGGCAGAUGAUAAUUUCAGUACAAUAGUAGCAGCGGUUGGUCAAGGAAGAUCUAUAUACAAUAAUAUGAAGGCUUUCAUAAGGUCUUCAUAAAAUCUAACUCUGAUUAUCUUUGCCAUAUAACCCUUUUUCUGAUAAUCUUGGAUAUUUUUGCCCUUCUAGUCAUACCUGGUCCUUACAUUUUAACAUGUUGUAGUGAAGUUUUCAACAACAACAACAUCUGCAACUAUCUUUUUCACUUAAAUCUAUCAUCUGCAACUAUUUGUUUUUUUGGAAAGGAGUUGACUUCUAUUAUUCUUGUGGAGAAGUAAAUGCUUCCAGGACUUAAUUGUUUUAGUCAAUUUAUCUUUAGUUGAAAAAUCAUGUGUUGUUUUCAGCUGGAUAUGACUCUUAUGUUCUUUAAGUUAUUUUUCUUUAUGGAUAGCUGUUAAUUUGUUUCUUUAGGCCCUACUUUUUCUAAAUCAUUCUGAUCUUCAAGAUCUAUCUGGCUAAUCAAAGUCCAUCGUAUGCUAGAUCAUAGAUGUUUUAUAGAGGCCACAAACAUCUGUCAGAUCCUAACAGACUAGUAAAUAUAUUGGCAAAAUCGUUGUGCUUUGAGUGCAUUAAGAGGUAUUAUGUUCUGUGUAAUUUCGUUGGUGAUUCCUAUGGUACUUGAGCAAUUAUAUUUUGCUUGUGCUUCUAAUAUUUGGAUCAAAAUGGUAAAAUUUGAAAAUGCCCACGGUAUAGUACAUUUACAUUUUACUAUUAUGUGAUACUAAAUAGAGCACUCUACACCUUUGUGGUUUCUAUUUUAGCCUUUUUAAGUUUCUUAUUAAAACCUACCAUAAAAAUGGAGGUACAUUUUAUAAACCAUAGGGUGAUAAAAUGCAAAUCACAGGAUGGUCAAGUGCCAUCAAAUGUAGACUGGCACUCAUAUUGAGCAUCUGACUUUUUCAAGUUGAUAUAAUCUGUAGGAAAAUCUUUUAUUACUAGCUAUGGGUUGUAUUUGUUUUUUUGUGCUUGCUCCUUUUAUUUUGGUCUACUGAUGAGAUGAUAGUACUAACAGUAGAUAACUUGUAUUUGCACAAUGCAGAUAUAUGAUCUCCUCAAAUAUCGGUGAAGUCGCCUCUAUUUUCCUUACUUCAGCUUUGGGCAUUCCUGAGGGACUCAUUCCAGUUCAGCUUCUGUGGGUCAAUCUCGUCACUGAUGGCCCUCCUGCAACCGCUCUGGGCUUCAACCCUCCUGAUAAAGACAUUAUGAAGAAACCUCCACGAAGGAGUGACGACUCAUUGAUCACUCCAUGGAUUCUAUUCCGCUACAUGGUAAGUUCCCUCUUCCUUCUUGAUGUGGCUCCGCAUUCCUCUCUACCGCAACUUACCUACCUUUUUAAGUGCUGUACUUCUCCAUUAGCUUUUUGAGAGCUGUAUUUUCUCCGUGUGUUCAGGUCAUCGGUCUCUAUGUGGGAAUUGCAACAGUAGGCAUCUUCAUCAUAUGGUAUACUCACGGCUCCUUCAUGGGCAUCGACCUGACCGGCGAUGGCCACACUCUUGUCACCUACUCUCAGCUCUCAAACUGGGGCCAAUGCUCGUCAUGGAACAACUUCACUGUCACACCCUUCACAGCUGGGACCCGCCACUUUUCCUUCGAUGCCAACCCCUGCGAUUACUUCCAGAGCGGCAAAGUAAAAGCGACGACCCUCUCCCUCUCGGUCUUGGUGGCCAUCGAGAUGUUCAACUCGCUCAACGCCCUUUCAGAAGACACUAGUCUUUUGGUUAUGCCUCCCUGGGUCAACCCAUGGCUGCUAUUGGCAAUGUCCAUUUCAUUCGGGCUCCAUUUCCUGAUCUUAUACGUGCCCUUCCUGGCUCAAGUGUUCGGGAUCGUGCCGCUCAGUUUCAACGAGUGGCUGUUGGUGUUGGCUGUAGCUCUUCCUGUGGUGCUUAUCGACGAGGUUCUUAAGUUUGUGGGCCGGUUAAUGAGCUCUAAAGAUACCAAGCGGCGGUUGGAGAAACAGAAGGACGAGUAGGAAAACCCCCAGCAAAGAAGCAUUAUUCCUUGCCCUCCUUCCUUUCUUACUUGAGGGAGGAGCUCCUUGAGAGGUGAUGAUCGAUCAUCAGGAGUGAUACAAGUGAUACGAAGAAUCCAGCGGGAUUUUCGAUUUUAGUAUUUGAACUUAACAAACUGCUUCCAUUCUUAAAGUUUAACGCCUAAUUUUUAGGAUGCUGAAGUAGCGGCACUUUGUUCUAUUGAUUAUUAUUAUUAUUAAUUCGCUAUAGCUCAAGCUUUCUUGAAACCGUGUGGGAAUUAGCUAAAGCGCUCUGCAACUAAUAGUGGUCAGAGCGUUGCAUAUUAAAUAAGCGGGAGGGAAAAGAGGCGACUUCUGAUUUGCUUUUAUUUUUACUUUUAUUUUUGUUUUCCUCUACUUCUAUCUGGAGAACUUGUACACCUCCGAUAUUUCUAAACUGUUCAAUAGUAGCUGGUUUUUUAAGCGUUGACAAUGCAACUAUGGUGCUGCUUUUUUGAACAAAAAUCUAUUCUCAAAUGCUUCAGUGAGAACUUUUUAGUGAUUUCGUGCAGGAUCUUUACUGUUGAAUAUUGGCUAUUACCCCUUGGAAACGGCUGGGACAAAAAUGUUUAAUUGAUGUGUUCUGAGCAUUUGUUCCGAAUUAAACAACCCGUUUACCUUUUACCCCUGUUGUUGGAUAUUGUACUUUUAUCUCUGCACAUGGUGCUGGACACCGAACUCUUCUGCAUGUGUGGGUCAAGGAAGCAAAAGCUGAAAUCAAGCCGCCCCGACGUGAAGUUUAGGCUUAGUUUGGUAUUGAGAUGAAUCUAACGUCAUUAGAUAGAAUAGAGUGAAAAAAAAGUAUAUAGGAAAAUGCUUCUGCGUUUUUUAAUGGGACUACAGAAAUUAUAUCAUCGUAACCAACUAGCCGAAAUAUGCGGAACGCAAUAUUACGUACGGAAUCACAUGUAACGCAAUCUCCCCACAAUCCCAAAACAAUCCCGAACAAAGCCCGCAUUCCCAAACGAAGCCUUAGUGGGGUCACGACUCACGAAAGCAAAAGCAAA
rnacentral:lncRNA from 1 species